UUCUUUUCUUUGUUUUUUUAGUCAAUGGCUGACCACCACCUCCAAAACACUCAACCAAUGACUCACCAAAUGGUGAAAGCCGCUACUGCCGCAACAGCCGGUGGUUCCCUCCUCAUUCUCUCCGGUUUAAUCCUAGCUGGCACCGUUAUUGCACUCACUAUAGCCACUCCACUCUUCGUUAUUUUCAGUCCAGUUCUUGUCCCUGCUCUCAUUGCAACAGCUCUCCUAGCAACGGGUUUCGUCGCCUCCGGCGGUUUCGGUGUUGCAGCCGUCACGGUUCUGUCCUGGAUUUACAGGUCCUUGAUCUUUUUUUCUUUUUUAAUGAUCUCCAAAAAUACCAUGAAAUUUCCUGUACUGGACUAUUUUUAUUUAAAAAAUAGUAAAUUAGUCUCUACAUUUUUAUCAAAGAUUAAAGAGAGUAAAUUUUAUCAAAGAUCAAAACGAAAUAUCUUUUCAUUAAAAAUUUCAUCUAUUUUUAUAAUUAAAAAUUUCAUAAAUUAGUAUGAGAUACACCUUAAUCAUUACAUGUUAAAGUCGUGUCAAUUUUUUUAGCAGUCCGUCGGGUCAGUCAAAUUUUAAUGUAAUUUUUUUUAAAUGAACAAAAAUAAUUAAUUUAUUUUUUUUACGUGAUUAAAUUUUUUAAAAUUUUUUUAUUAGAAAGUAAAAUUCAAUCCAACUGUUAGGGCUUCCAUGGCCCUCUUAGUAGCUUUUUCUUAUUCUUAAAUGACUAUAUAUACAGGUAUGUGACGGGGAGGCACCCACCGGCGGCGGAUCAGUUGGAUAGUGCGGGGAUGAAAUUGGCUAGCAAGGCACGGGAGAUGAAAGAUAGGGCGGCACAGCUCACCGGUGCGGCGGCUUCUUAAAUUAGUUCUCUACUGCAUGCUUUUGUAAUGGAGCUGUGCAAAAGUUCAGGAUCAAGUGGCCAUUAAACCGAUCCUUAAUGAUGAUGUUGUUAUGUUGUUGAUGAUGAAAAGAUGUUUUUUUCUAAAUUUAAAAGCAGCAUUAGAAACUUCGGGGGAUGAUGUGGCUGUCUGUUUAUGUUAAAAACUCCCAUGUAAUUGACUGUAAUAAGCACUACUUGUUUUUGUUGUUAGUUUGUGUGUUUGUUGGUUCCACUUCAAUUACAAUAAAGUAAAAUUGAAUAUUUAAAUUAAACACUAUAUAAUAUAUAUUAUAUUAAUAUACAAUAUUAUUUUUUAUUUUUAAAAAUAUUUAAAAUUAAUAAAAUAUUAAUAUAAAAUAUUAUAAUUUUCAAGUUUAUUGAACAUAUAUAUUUAAUUAUCUAAUCAUAUAAUAAAUUAUUUAAUAUUUCAAUUUUAUUUAAAUAAUAAAAGUAAUUUCAAUAUUAAUAUUUUAAUAAUAAACUAUAUAUUAAUAAUAAAUGUUUAUUAAAAUAUGUUAUCUGUACUUUUAUUUUUAAAAAUUUAGUCUUUUUAAUUUUAAAAAUUAAGUCUAAUUUUUAAAUAUCGGUAAAUCUUUUUAUAAAUUUUAUUGAUGUCAUAUUUUAAUUCAAAAAUAAAAGUAAGUAGAUUAAAUACUUAAAAUAGAUUAAAUUUAAGCCUGAUAUAUUUUAAAUAUGGUUUAAAUAAUGCUUAGCUUCAUUUAUCCCUUAUAAUUAUUUGUAAUAUAUAUAAUUUAAAUUAAAUUUAUAUAUGACAUUGAUUAUUACAAAAUAUUUUUAUUGUUAAAAGUAUAUUGCACUAUAAUAUUUUAUAACAAAUAUAUUUAUGUUAUCUUAAUGUAAAAUAUAAAUUUAUAGAUAUAAAAUAAAUUCAACUAAAUAAUGAAAAGAUUUGUUUCAUUUAAAAUGAAUUUUAUGAAAUAUAUUCAGAAAUAAUAAAAAAAUAUUUAACAUCAUGCAAAUACUAGAAUAUAUUAAUUUUUUUUAGAAAAUAAAGUUAUUUUUCUUAAACUCAUUUUCAGUGAAACAAACAGAGUGUAAGUGUUAAGUAGUGAUAAGAUAUAUUAUAUUUUAAAGGAUAUCUGAUAAGGUGUAUUUUGCUUUAGAAAAUUUAAUAUAAAUUUUCGAAAACGAUAGAAAGAAUAGUUACGAAUUUUAGAUAGCUACAAAACUUGAAUAUGAAUAACAAAACAAUAAUUAUCCGAAGUUUAAUAUUUAAUUAAAAACUUAUAAAAUAAAUUUUAAUUAUUUUGAAAAGAAAAAAUUGCUAUUUCGUCAAUAAAAUAAGUACUUUUAACAUUUUAUAUUGACAAAAUUACAGAUGAGCAUAUCAUGUAAUUAGAGGUGAUCAUAGGCCGGGUCAGGUUUGGGUCGGGCCCAGAUAAAAAUGCUAAAACUCGAGUCUGACUCGGCUCGCUCAUAUUAAUUUUUUAUAUUAUAUUAUUUUUACAUAAUUUUUAAAUAUAUAUAAUACAUCAAAAAUACUAAAACAUUAAAAUAAAUAUUUUCGAACAAAUUGAAAGUAAAUUAAAUAAUAUGCAUACUUAAAUAAUACUAAGAUAGAUGCAACUUAACCAGAAAAUGUCUCUAAAAUAAUAACAAAAUUAAUAAUAAAACAAGUGUUAUACAAUAUCUAAAUAAUAAUAAUAAUAUAGUAAUAAUAUAAUAGUGAAAUAGUAACAAAAUAGGGAGAAAACAAUAAGAAAAUAUCAUUAAAAUAACAAAAAAUAUAGCAGCUUUUUUCUUGGCAUUUAGCGAAUUCGGGUUGGGACAAAAAUAUAUUACCUGAGGCUCGGCCCGUUUUUAAAAUAGGCCUUAUUUUUUUACUUAAAUCCUCAUAUUUUUCAGUCAGGUCUACAUGUAACUCAUGUUAGUCUUUUUUCUACUGCAGAACAUAUUUAAGAACAUCACGAAUCUGUCAUGUACUCAUGUUAUUACACAAAUUCCGUCUUAAAACAUAGUCUUUUGUUUAUUCAAAUUUGACUGGAUUUAAUAACUUUGACCUCUCUCAGAAUUAAUUAUUUUAGUGAUGAGAUUAAAAAUUGUGAAUAUAUAUUAAAAUAAAUAUUAUUUGGAUUCAAAUUUAGACCUCAGGUUAGAUUAAAAAACAAUCAUUAAAGACACAAUGUGCUAUUAUACUAUAAUAAAAUUUAUAUUUUAUAAGAUUAUAGACUUAAAUUAAAAUUAUAUAUUUUUUAAAACGAUAACUAAUAUUUAUUAAAAUCAUAUUUAUGGUAAAUUUUAAAUUAAAUAAUAAGAUAUAUUUAAAUUAUUUUAUAUUAAUAAAAAAAUAAAAAAAUAUAUUUAAGAUAAUAAAUAAUUUAUAACUUAUUAGAUUGUACUAUAUAAAAUCAUAUAACUGUUAUAUAAAAAGAUUUAUAUAACUGUUAUAUAACUUAUUAGAUAUAUCUUCUAAUGAGAAAUUAAAAGUUAGUGUGCUGAAAAUUUUCCUAAAGAAGUGUGUCAAUGGUCCAUGAAGAAGUAUUUGCAAUUGGAUAGCUCCAAUUAAGAAAAGAAAAUCUAACAUUUAAGAUUAAAAAAAAAAUUGGUAAUUGAGUCUUUACUUGAUUAGUAUCUGUAUUCUACUUAUUGUAUAAAAAAUAAAAUAAAAAUUAAGUUUAAGAAAAUGAAAAAUCAAAGACCUAAUAAAAAUUGAAAAAUUAAAAUUUCAAGUUAAGUAAACCAAUAUUAAAAGAAAGCAACCUUACAGUAUAAAAUUUCAUAAAAUUUUCUUAUGAUUAAUACUUUAAUAAUCUAAAAAUUGAAUUUUUUAAUAGAAAUGUUAAGAUUUUAAAAAUUGAACUAAACACUCAAUGAAUGAUGCUUCCGAUUUUGGGUUUAACCAAUUGAAUCAAUAGGGAAGAAAAUAUUCAACAACCGGUUACACUUUACAGCCCAGGCAUUGUUGUAUCUCACAAUUUUAAAUCUCACAAAUGAGUCUGACGCUACAUUUGACUCUUUCAGCAUCUCACCCAUAAAUUUCAUCUUUUUAUGUUUCCCUCUUUUUUCACUCAAUGUCUCUCACUCAUAAAUUAGCCUCAAAUUGCACCUUGUAGUAUUUUUUUCGUCGAUUAAGCUUUUAACUCAAUUGGAAUCGGAAUUGUUGUUGGUGCAAGAGAAGGUGAGUUUGAGUACGCUGAAGCACAUUAUCUUCUUAUUUAAGGGUUGAGAGGGGCUAUGAACUAAAACUAGGAAUCGUGGUGCUACACUCAUAUGAAAAGAAAGUAAUCGCUUAGAACGCACACCAAAAUUUUAAAUUUUUAUAAAAUUUUUUAACAUAUUGUUAAAAUUUUUGAUAUAUUUUUAAAGCAUUUGCAAACCCUUCCCUCAAGGCUUUUUAGUUUCUAUCUUUUUCUUCAUCCCCUCUAAAGUUCAAAACUCUGACAGUUAAUAAACAUUUCUAUUUGUUUUCUUUAAAGUUUAAAGCUAAAAAAUCCUACAAUUUUAAAUAUCAAUAUCUUUGAGGACUAAAUUUUCUCUUUCUAUUCUUUAAAAUCCAAAUUUUAGAGUAAAAACAAAAUGAGAAAUUGAAAUGAUAGAAAAACAAAAAAAUAUUAAAAAUUUUUUUUUUCUUUCCAUAAAUUUGCUUGGUAGGAAAGAUGAGAGAAUUAAAAGAAAAACAACUUAAGACUAAAAAAAUUGAUGACAGAGUCUUUACUCGGUUAGUGAUGCAUUGUUGUCAAUAUAGGAAGAUGCGAGUUUAAACUUAUUGAAACGCAUUUGUCCUUCUAUUUUAAAUAGAGUUGAGGAGUAGUUAUAAAUUAUUCUACUCAUCAUAUAAGAAAAAACAAAAAUAAAAAUUAAACUUAAGAAAAUGCAGAAUCAAAGACCUAAUAAAAAUUGAAAAAUUGAAAACUCAUGUAAACCGACAUUCAAGAAUGCAGCCUUGAUGUUUUGAAAAUAGAAUGGAAUAAAAUUAAGCAAAAUGAAAAGAGCGAUUCACUUAUAAUUGUGUAAAUUUUCAUAUUUUUUUAUGAUUAAUACUUUAAUAAUCUAAAAUUUAAAUUUAUUAAUACAACUAUUCUUAUCAUCACUAUUUUAAAAUUUGAACUAAACAUUCAAUGAAUGAUACCUCUAAUUUUCGAUUUAACCAAUUGAAUCAACGGGAAGAAAAUAUUCAACAUCCGGUUAUACUUUACAGCUCAGGCAUUAUUGUAUCCCACAAUUUUAAAUCUCAUAAAUGAGUCUGAUGUUGCAUUUGACUCUUCUAACAUCUCACCCAUAAAUUACACCUUUUAAUAUUUCCAUUUUUUUUACCCAACGUCUCUCACUCAUAAAUUAGUCUUAAAUUACACAUUUUAAUAUUUUUUUCGUCGAUUGAGUCUUAACUCAGUUAGUAUCGAUAUUGUUGCUAGUGUAAGAAGACGUGAAUUCGAGUGUGCUGAAACACAUUAUUCUCUUAUUUAAGGGUUGGGAAGGGACUAUAAAUUAAACCGAAGAAUCAUGAUGCUACACCCGUAUAAAAGAAAAAAAUAAAUCAAUAUAUAUAUUUCAUUUUUUUCAAUAGAUUUUUAUUAUUUUAGUUUCUACCUUUUUCUUCAUCCCUCUAAAGUUUAAAACUCUAACUGUUAAUAAAUAUUUCUAUUUGUUUUCUUUAAAGUUUAAAGCUGAAAAAUUCAACAACUUUAAAUCUCAAUAUCUUUGAUGAGUACUACCCAAUAAACAUAAAACUUUCUCUUUUUAUUCUUUAAAAUCCAAAGUUUAGAGUGAGAAUAGAAAAUUAGAAAGAUGAAAAAUUAAAAGGAUACAAAAUAUAAAGAUUAAAAAAAUAUUUUUUUUUUCUUUCCAUAAAAGUGCUUGGCAGGAAAAAUAGGGAAACUAAAAGAAAAACAAAUUUCUUUCCAACUAUUUCUUAGUAGAAUUGAAAAACGAGAGAAAAGAAAAUAAACAUUUGAUAUUUCUAUCAUAAAAACAUGUCAAUCAAGCACACUAUCAAUCAUGCGUGUAAUUUUUUAAAUCAAUAUGAUAUUUUUAUCAUAUCGAUCUAAAAUAUUAUUUAUAUUAAUAUACACUUAUUUUUUUGUUUGAGUCUGUAAGUACCUAUUAAUAUACAUAAUUUUAUUUUUGGCAAAAUGAUUAAUGUUCGGUUAAAUGUUAGUAGACUAUAAAUACCACUUUAUAAGUCUUUGAAUUUAGAUUUUGUGAGCCGAAAACAUUUUCCUUAGUUUCAUAGUUCUUAGUUCAGGGUUUAGUUAGGUUCUCUUUUCUUUUUUAAUUUUGCUAUAGUAUUUUUAUUUUUUCGUUUUAGUUGGAACAUUGUGAAGAGAGAGAUAUUAAACGCUCGUGCUUCGUCGGAUUUUAUCUAUUAAUGAGCAUUUUCUCAACCUUAUCUUUUACAUUUUAUACUUACUAUGUGUUUGUUAAAAUGCAUGUGAGGAAUUCAAGUUUAAUCAUGUACUGAAUUAUUUUAUUGGUUGAUUGAUAAGUGGGUUACUUAGCUAAGUUAUUAUCUAUGCUUUGAUUGGUAAGUGUAUUAAAUUGCAUAUUACGUACUAGAAUUGACACAUUUAGUGGAAGAUUUAGAUGGGCGAGACCAAGAGGAGACUCUAUCAAGUAGGUAUUUGAUACAUUUGUGCCGAAUAGUGAGAUCGAGAUGAGAGCCUAGGUGUUAUGUUUUAGUUUAGGAUGGGACCUAGAGGAGAUUCUUAGUUGGGAAUGACAAACAAUAUAAUCAUCAUAGAUUUAUCAGCUUAGUUAGUAAUCCACGAAUCAAUCAACCAUCAUUUCAAUCUAUUUGCAUUAAUUCCAACAAAAAAGGAAAAAAUUUAGUUUAGUAUUUUUAUUUGUUAAUUUAGUUAUAGCUUAAAUAUUAUUUUAUUUGAAUUUACACUAAUAAUUUUUGACUCGAUCAAAUUAGUAAUUGUUGAACUUGUAAUUAACUUGACAAAAGCAUUUACCAACAAUCUCUUGUGUUCCUUAGAAUGCUAUAGCGUUCCAUUGACAUUACAAAUAUUCUACUCAUACAAAAUAAAAGACAAAUAAAAAUUAAAUUUAAGAAAAUACAGAAUCAAAGACCUAAUAAAAAUUGAAAAAUUAAGAACUCAAGUUAAGUAAACCAACAUUCAAACAAAGCAACCUUGAUGUUUUGAAAAUAGAAUGGAAUAACAUUAAGUAAGAAAAAGAAAUUCACUUAUAACUGUGUAAAAUUUCAUAAUUUUUUUAUGAUUAAUACUUUAAUAAUCUAAAAUUUGAAUUUAUUCUUAUCAUCAAGAUUUUAAUAAACAUUCAAUGGAUGAUAUCUCCGAUUUUCGAUUUAACUAAUUGAAUCAAUGGAGAAGAAAAUAUUCAACAACCAGUUACACUUUACAGCCUAGGCAUUGUUGUAUCCCACAAGUUUAAAUUUCAUAAAUGAGUCUGACGUUACAUUUGACUCUUCUAACAUCUCACCCCUAAAUUGCACCUUUCAAUAUUUCCAUUUUUUUCACUCAACGUCUCUCACUCAUAAAUUAGCUUUAAAUUGCACAUUUUAAUAUUUUUUUCGCUGAUUGAGUUUUAGCUUAGUUGUUAUCAGCAUUGUUGCUAGUGCAAAAGAGUGUAGAUUCGAGUGCGCUGAAGCAUAUUAUACUCCUAAUUUUAUAAUGAAAAGAAAAUUAGAAAGAUGAAAAAUUGAAGGGAUAGAAAAAUAAAAAGAUUAAUGCAAAUAUAUCAUUUCAAUCCAUUUUCAUUAAAAUAAUUUGGGGUGGAUUGAAACAUAAAACAAAAGUAUAAGUAUCAAAUUGAACUUUUCUCUUUUUUUUUUCUUUUUUCUUUUGCAAGGGUAUCAUAUUGCACAUUCAAGAAAAGUUUUGAGGGUAAAUGUGACAUUUAACUCUAAAAAUAAACAAAGAAAAAAAAAGGAAAAGAAAAGAAAAGCACAACCUAAACAAAGAUGCUUAAUAUCUCUUUUGGCCUUGUAUUAUAAUUAAAUUAUGACUUUGAUACCUAUACAAUUUUUUAUCAGUUUCAUCCUGUACUUUCAUUAUAUAAUCCCCAUUACCCCUAACUCAAAUUUCUGUAAAAAAAUUAAGCCAACCAAUGACAUGCUGCCAAGUUUCACGAAAAUUAAAAAACUAGAAAAUAUAACAAAACUAAAAAAUAAUUUAAAAUAAAGAAUAAAAAAAAUCUUAAAACUCAGAAAAUCAUUUAAAAAACUUUAAAAAAAAAUCAUAAUCCAUUGUUGAAUAUUAUAAAAAAAACUAAAAUUAAAGUAUGCAAAACUUCAAAAAAAAUUAGAAAAAUCAUAAAUUUUUUAAAAAAAAUUGUUUGUUUGGAAUUUUAAAAUUAAGGUAUUUUUACUAAAAAAAAUUCAAAUUUCCUUAAAAAAUCCAAAAAAUUCUAAAAUUUACAAAAAUACCAUAAAAUUCUUAAAAGAAAUUCAUAAAGGUCUAAAAUUUUCCAAAAACCUAAUAUUCCAAACAAACAAUUUUUUAAAAAUUUAUGAGAUUUUUAUUUUUUUAGUGUUUCGCAUACUUAUAAUUUUUAAUUUUUAUAAUUUUCUAAGUUCUAAUAUUUUUAUGAUUUUUUGGUAAUUUUAAAUUUUUAAAAAUUUAAAUAUUUUUUAUAGUUGUUUUGACACAUAAAUCGGGUCAUUAGCUGAUUUAAAAACUUUUUAAGAGAAAUUUGGGUUUGGGGGUAAUGAGUUAUAUAGAAUGCAAGUAAAAGUCAAGUUAAUAAAAAAAAAGUGAAAGUACCAAAGUGAGAAUUUAACAAUAGUAUAGGGACCAAAAAGUAUUAAGCCUAAAAACUAUUAUCUAAAAGCUGAGAAACUUACAGAUUACUGUUUGCCUAUUUCCCAUUUACUCGUUCAAGAAAGCUUCAAAUUGGAUUCCAAAAUUAAAUUUUCGCUUCCGAUUUCGAAGCUAUUAAUUAGUGAUCUUUUUUUUUUCCUCAAAGUUCAGUUAAUCUUUAUUCUUUCAAUCAAUUCCCUCUCAUCUCCAAUUUUUUUUUUUAAUUUUUAGGCUCUAUUUUAUAUGUUGUUUCUAUUUCAGGUCUUGUAAUUUACUACACUUCUCCAUUCACUCUCAUAAUUAAAAAAAAAUCCCUUUGGAGAGAUUGGCGAAUGCAUUUUAAAAGAAAAUUUAUUCGAAUUUUAAAUCGUUAAUAGAAAUAAUUUAAGCCGAUUUAUAUUUGAUGAAAUGUUUUUUUUUUAAAUAUGAACUUAAAUUUUAAAAUUAAUUAGAGCUUUUAAUCUUGGUUUUCUUCUUUGCAGGUUUGAGGUGAGAGGAAAGCUAUGAUGCUAAAAUUAAGCAUUAUCUAAUAAGAAUGCCGGGCAUUCCUUUAGUGGCUCGUGAAACCUCCUCGUAUGUUCUCUGGGAUUUUAAACUCAUAAUUUGAGGGUUUUAUUUUUUUCUUCUUUUAAUUUUUAAUAUUAUUAUGGCAAUAUGUUAUGCUCAUAGGUAUCUUGGUUUUGGGUUUCGCGUAUUUUCUAUCAAUGUCAAGCUAAAAGUAUGUGAUCAUGCAAACAUUGUUUUUCUCAAGGUCAUUGUGAAUGAUAUCUUGUUCUAGAGCCUUUAUGUUUGAUUAUUGUUGAUUUAUUAUAGAGUUUUUGUUUGUUUGUUUUUGUGUUGUAAUGAAGUGUGAUUUUGGAGUAUGUCUAUUUGGAUAAGUUCAUGAGUUGAGGGGUUCUCAUGUUAUCUUUCUUUCCAGCUAUUCAAGAAGCACAGAUCAAAUGUGCCAAGAAGAUUCUGGCCUGAAUUUAUAUGCUGAAGAGGAAAUUGCAGCUGAAGAGAGUCUAUCGGUUUAUUGCAAGCCUGUAGAACUCUAUAACAUUCUUCAAAGGCGCGCUAUAAGAAAUGUAAUAUUUCUGCUUCUUGUUGCUUUCGACAUUUUAUUUUUUUCAUGUAGAUUGAUUUUCAUGUUUGUUCAAGAUGUGGUGUCAUUCGACGUUGCAGACAGUUAAAAAGUACAUGCUGGUUUGAACCAUCUUAGUUUUAUUUUCAUUGGAAGAGAUUUUUCUUUAAUCUUUAACUCGGAUACUUUUUUAUAUCAAUCUACUUGUUAGUUGUGGUCAUCUUUAAAUUAUUUUUCUUUUAAUUUGCAGCCAUUAUUUCUUCAAAGAUGUUUGCGUUACAAACUUCAGGCAAAACACAAAAAGAGGUAAUGUUCCAAUGUGGUUGCAACUUGAAAGUGUUUAUGGUUGCAACUUUUAGGAUAGGCAAAUCUGUUGUAUAGAUUCUUAUGUUUGACUAUACAUAUGGUUGUUGGAAUUUGCAUCAUUUAGGUAGCAAUGACAAGUUUCUUUGUGGUAGGAGUUAAUUCUUAUUUUGUUGUGUGAUUAUCAAUGAAUUUAUUAAUUAAAUUUUGAUGAUGAUUAGUUUUUGGUUAUUGUUUUCUAAUAAUCAUGUGUUGUCUUGUUUGACUUGAUCAAAAUUUGCUAUAUACAGGUAAAUUUGAGUUAUUAACUGCAUUUUAUUUGGUUGAUAUGUAGGAUACAAAUGACAGUGUCAGUACCAGGGAUUGUCAAUGAAGGUGUACUGACACAAACUGUUUUUCCUUUAUACAUCUUGUUGGCAAGGCUAGUUUCUGAUGUUGCGGUUGCAGAGGUAGGGUGUAUCAUGUCUGUACAUUCAAAACUAAAUCCAUUAGUCUAUUUAUCUUCUUUUCUGGUAUUGUUGUACUCUUUUUUUUGUACUUCAUUUAUGAUAUAUUUACUUUUUGAACCCCACAAUGAAGUAUUCUGCAGUUUAUCGUUUUCGUCGGGCUUGUAUCUUGACUAGCUUCACUGGCAUUGAUGACAGUAAUCAAGCCCAAGUAAAUUUUAUUCUUCCUGAGAUUAAUAAGCUAGCUAUGGAGGCCAAAUCUGGCUCGCUUGCCAUUUUGCUUGUCAGCUUUGGUAUGUAUUUCAUAAAUCCCUUACAUUAUAACAGUUCAAUUUAGUAUGAAUUUUAGCUAUUAAUGUCACUUUUUCUUUCUGUUUCAUUCACAUUCUACUUAUUCUCACAGCAAAUGGAGGAUGCUGCCUUUGGGGUAGGAUACCAUUAGAAUCACUAUAUUUGUCUUGGGAAAAAUCCCCAAACUUGAGUUCGGGACAAAGGUCUGAGAUGGUUUUACCUGUUGACUUGCAGUUUUGCUUAUUGAAGGUGUGCCAUCAUAGCUUUCUGGUUAUCAUUUAAAGAAAAAAAAUCUGGGGGACUGUUCUACUGGUUGCUUAGCUAUUAUUUUAGUCCGUAUCAUAGCAAAAAAGAAUUGUUUAAGAUUCAGAGAAAGCUUUCUUGAUUGUUUUUGUACUAUGGCCAAGUCAUAAAGUAUCACUUCUAGGGCAGUGCUCCAUUUUCUAUAUUCUUCUCAAAUAUAAAAUAAUACUCUUAAGGAAUGACUCUGCAGUCCUUAGCCUCUGAUUCUUUCCUUGCUAUUUUUAUUGGGUAUAUACUUGUGAUGUUGUUCAACCAUGCCAUUCUAAGCUUGAAAAUUCAUCCUAAACUCAGCUUUAGCUGAAGCAUAUCUUGAACUCCACCUGUCUAUGUCUAAGAGUGCUUCAAUGAAAAUUCCUACGGCAGUUUAGAAGUUGGUAGAAACCAAAAAAUAUUUGUGCAACUGUAUCAAAGGGAUAUAGUGGUUGAUAGAAAUGCUAUGCUAGUAGUAUUGAGCUCUAUGUAUUUGGGAUGUUGAUGGUGUUGCUAUACCAUUCGAUGGUCAAUUAGGUUUCCCUGUACUUAUCUGGUUUUUUCUUAAGUGAUCACUUUGUCUCAAGCAGUUUUGCUUAUUGUCGAUGACUGCUUGUGUGAGUGAUACUUUAACCAUGGUACAACUUUCUUUAGAUGGCUCACUGUAACCAGUAUAGAAAAUUGCGAUGCAUGUUCAAGCACUGAUGAUUAAAGCUUAAAUAAGUAUCUGAAUUGCGGUUACUUCUAUAUUUUAUUUUUAUCCUUUCCUGCUGCAGUUGAAAUGUUCCAGCAAUUCUUCCUUAGUGGUAUGUCUCUGCUUCUUUUUCUUUUUAAAUUGACAUUUCUGACUUGUCUUCUAGAAAUAUUUUACUUAUGGCAUUUGAUUUGACUUUUUUCACUCCAAAAGAAUCAACCACUGCAGCUUCAGGUCAUCAUUUCUGCUAAGGAGGUUGGGGUAAAGGAAAAAUCUGCCUAUAAUUCAUACACAUGCAGUGGUGUUUCCUCGUCAUCGCUGCCUCAUAUUAUUGGGUAAUCCUUGUUAUAAUAACCAUUAAAAGUAGUUUUGCUCUCUGAUCAAAUCUAUUCCCCUUUCUAUGCCCUGAAAAUUUGAUAUUACCUGCUCUUUCCUGGUUGUUAAUGUGUUUGGAAAUAACCUUGUAAUUUCUUUAACAUUCUCCAAAGUGCUCUAAAUGAGGCACAUCUUACUUAGGAAAAAGCGGAGGAUGGGCAUUAGUGAUUCUAUUGGGUACUUUCAUGUUUAAUUCGAUUUACUACCAAAUGCCAAUCUACAGAUAGUCACAUUGGGUGCUUUAGACUAACUUUUGCGUUUCAAACAUAGUGUCCCCCCCCCCUCCCCCCAGCACACACACACAAAAAGAAUCAUACAAUUGAAAGAAGUAAGGAAUGUGCAUUUGCUUGAUGUGAUUUAACCUUGGUCUCUAUGUCUAUCUCUAAGACUGACAUUAUGCUGCUUUUGGUUUUAGGUUGAGAGCAGGAAAUGUCAUCUUUAAUUACAGAUAUUAUAACAAUAAGUUACAGAGGACUGAAGGUAUUAUUUCUUAGUUCUUACAUCUUUUUCUUCGGGAUAGGGGUUAAAUCUUAUACACAUUCUGGUUUUCUUGAGGUUGCAUCUUUUUCUUUAGCUGCCUGUACCCUCAAGCUAAGGAUUAUUUUCUAGAAUUUUUUUGAUUCUUCUCUCCUAGUCCUUAUUUGGUAGACAAGACACUAUGAUUAACUAGUUAAUCAUUAGGAUUUUGUUUGGAAUUUUUAUAUAAUUUUUGCAUUGUAUAUUGCUUAUUGAUUUAAUGUCAUAAAUUCCAUUUAUUUGCAGUAACUGAAGACUUCUCUUGCCCUUUCUGCUUAGUAAAAUGUGCUAGCUUUAAGGUUGUUCCUCUUGGUUCUAUUUUUUCUUCUUUUUCAUUUUGAUUCAAAUGAAAUUGUAUCCGUAUUACUUGGACAUAUAUGGUUGAUGCAUAAAUUUUUUUCUUAUAUAUAGGGUCUGAGGCAUCACUUGCCUGCAAACCAUGAUCUCUUCAAUUUUGAAUUUUGGGUUCGUAAAACUUCAGGAUCCAUGGUGGUAUUCUGAUAGUUGAUGCAUGCAUACCAAAAAUUCUAAUUCAUAGGUACUUUGUAGGUAACUGAAGAGUAUCAAGCUGUUAAUGUUUCAGUCAAAACUGAUAGUUGGAGAUCUGAGGUCAGAGUAUUUUCUUGACAAGACUUGCAAUUCUGUAUUGGUUUCUGAUUUUUUCUUCUUGGCUAAACGAACUGAUUUGGGCUAAUGUUAAUGCAUCUGGCCCCACCCUUUUUAAAAUUGUUUCUUCAAAUUCACAGGGAAAAGGUUACUGUAAUACUUAAAAGUUCAAGUUUUAUUUUUUGCCGUGAUUAAGGUGAAAUUUGCUAGUAUGGGGUGACUCAAUAUUGAAUCUGCCACUGUACUUUUAUUUAGUUAUAUGGUGAAUCUGCCACUGUACUAUAACCAUAUAAAUGUGCCUAUUUUUGUACAUCUUGUCCAUGUCACUGUUCUAGUUUACAUGUGUAUGUUUUCUAUUCAGCUUGUUGCAGAUGGUGUCGAUCCUAAACAACAGACAUUUAUCUAUUAGUAAGUUAUUUAAUUUGCCAUUUACAUGCUAGUGAGUUUCUUUCCUCAUCUUAUUUCCACGAACCGAAGUUGGUAGCUCAUACGUAUGCACAGCUCAAGACGUAGACGACAGAAGGGCCUAGUUCAAAAUGCAAGGCAUGUACAUCCUGUUUUCUUAGAAUCAAAUCUGCCAGCAGGAGGCUGUGAGCUUCUUGACAAGGCUCAUGGUAUUACAUUUUUAUAUACGACCAUUUACUUGUUACUUUUUCCUUUUAUAAAAAAUAUAACUUUUAGCGAAAUUUACUAUAUACUUUAGAAAUGGAAGGUUGUCUAGGCUAUCGGAUUCAAAUACUGAUGAAAGGGCUCUUGUCUCAGGUGGUAACAUUAUACAAAAUGGUAUAAUGGGUGCUCUGGAGUGUGCCGAACAUCUUCCAUCCAGUUCCAAUGUUGCAGGGGUUUCAGGCACUGCAGGACAAUCAUAUUCUGAUUCUGAACAUGUUCAAUCAGUGUCCGGAAACAAUCUUGGCCCCCCUGCCUUGCAAUUUGCAAAGACAAGAAAAAUAUCUAUGGAACGUUCUGAUCCCAGAAAGUAUGUCCUGAAUUUUUUUUUUUAAUCUAUAUAUUCAGUGUGUUCUAAUUCAUUCCAAAGCUGUGCAAUGGUUAAAUGCGUUUCUUUCUUUUCAUCAGAGCAUUGUUUAUGGAAUUUGUUCUGUGAAUUUAAAGGCAUUGCUUGUCAAUUUUUUGUACAUUUCUACACUAGGUAUUUUUUGGUGCUAAUGUAGUAGCUACUGUUGAAUGAUUGUUUUUCUAGAGAGUGUUGGUCUCAGAACUGUUGGGGUGUAAAGUACUUUAUCUACUACCCAAAGUGUCUAGUGGCCACUGCCAUUCCUGAUUCAGGCAUAAAUGUUCUAAAUCCUGUAUCCAUCAUCUCCCUCCCAGUUUAGUAAUAGAACUGACAAAUAACAGUUGUGACCAACUAGUUAAAAGAUGGAAGUGUGUCAUAAAAUUGAUGUGCUCAUUUGGACUGGUCUUGUUUAGACAAUAUGCUUCCCUCUCCACCCUUGCCCUAUUUUCUGCUAUGACAAAGGGUUUAUUGUUGAACCAUGAAUAUGGGUUUGAUUUUAUUAUUUUCUCUGUGUUUUCAGCCGUACUUUCCUUCGGAAGCGACAGUUUUUUCACUCACAUAGAGCACAGGUGAUUGAAAACUUUGUAAUUGGUGUUUGUAAUUUGGUUCUGGGAAAUGCGAUGAUAUCCAUAAUGCAGUGUGAAAAGAAGAGAGAAAGAGGAAAAAAGAAAAAAAGAAAAGUUGCUUGCUGCUGCUUACACUAAUCACACAUACACACAUUAACAACUAAUAAGAGAGUGGGUCUAGUUGUGGCUUAGCUAGCAUGUGAAAUGGACUGAGGACUGUAGUUUUGGUUUUCUCCUUGAAUUAUGUUGUGUGGUACAGCUCAAUAUGCCUUUGCAUUAGUUUUUGUCAAGAGAUGUUAAGAAGCUUAGUAAUAGUUGACUAUGAAAUCCAUUACUGACAAUGUAUACAUCAAAAUCUGUGAAACUCUACAUCUCUGCUUGAAGCCAAUGGCGAUAGAUCAAGUGACGUCUGACAGAGACAGUGAGGAUGAGGUCGAUGACGACGUUGCAGAUUUUGAAGAUCGAAGGGUAUGUUUAUUUUAUUUGUUUUCUCUUCCGUAGUCUUUCAAUGUUGAUGCUUUUGUGGAAGGACAUAUUGUGUUGGAUUUUGGUCGGUGGACAGCUAAGAAUUGAAGGGUGAUGUAGUUAUCAACAAGUUAAGGAGUAUUUACACAAACUUACAUGACAACCAGAAGUAAAGUAACCAUUUUGACAUUAGUAGAUCCCUUUCCAAGGAAUAUAUAAAUGGUAUUUGAUGAAAAGAUAUGUAUAGAUUUUAAUCUCAUUAAAAUUCCUUUUGGUACAUUAUUGAACUGCGUGACUCAAUAUCUGCGAUGUAGACAAGCUAGGAACUGAAGUCAGUGAACGAACAACUAAUAAUAAGAUAUAAUGCAGUAAUUACUAAUGUUUACAGCCCAUUACAAAAAUGACUCCGAGUGUCUGAAGUGCCAGGGUUGGUCAUUAGGGCUAAUGAAUUGAAUCUUGGUGAAAUUGUUUUUGCAUUUACAAGAUUGCAUUAAGAUGCUCUAGCAUGUUGCAGAUGCUUGAUGAUUUUGUUGAUGUAACCAAAGAUGAGAAGCAAAUAAUGCAUUUGUGGAAUUCAUUUGUGAGAAAGCAAAGGUAAUCUUGUCUUUCUGUUUUACUUCGGGUUUUUGCUUCCGUUUCUUUUAUUCUCACUUGGAACUAGUUGAAAUCAAAUCAUAAUUGUCAUUAUAAGUUCUUCCCGCCUCUGUCUGUAAUUAUGACAGUUUGUUUUAACACGUUUAAACCGACCUAUAUGAUGCCCACGAUGUUGGUCUUUUUUGUGUUCCUUUGGUAGUUUCUUCAUUUCACUCGUAGUUGAAUCGAGUGACUCAUUAGAUCUUCAUUUGUUUCUCCUGUUGUUGCUGUUUCAACGAUGGCAGGGUGUUAGCAGAUGGUCAUAUUCCAUGGGCAUGUGAAGCAUUUUCAAAAUUACAUGGGCAGGACCUUGUCAAAGCCCCGGCUCUCAUCUGGUACAUCGUCUCUCUUUUGUUUCUGAUUAAAAUUUAUGUCAUUUAAGCCCUAGCACUUCAGCUUGUCUAUUUUCCAUGAAUUGUAGUUUCUUUCUCUUGUCUGAUUGUACAUACUCAUCUUCCUAGUGUUUCUGAUCGGCUGAUGUAAUAAAAAACGAUCCCACAUCGACUAGCCAAGGAUUUGAUUCAGGCUUUAGAAAUCAAGGGCCAUCCUUCCCUAUCGAGACCCGUUUUCUCAAAAGACAAAAACCUAGUGGGAGAUCUUUAGACCUCAAAAAACAAACAAUACCUCAUAACGGUCGCAGUUUAACUAUUCUUACAUUAAUAAUGUUUAUGAGAUUACACUUUUGUUGUCCCGUUUUCAACAUAACAUCGGAUGUAUGCUUAAAUUCGAAGAUCAUAAUAAACGUAUUACCUACCUAUGUUGAAUUGGCAGGUGUUGGAGGUUAUUCAUGACCAAGUUGUGGAAUCACGGUCUCCUCGAUGCACGAACCAUGAAUAAUUGUAAUAUCAUUCUACAACAGCACAAAAAGAAUGGUUCGGAUUUGAUAAAAGGCUAAAGAGACCAUUGGUAAACAAUCGUGAUGCUGAAAUGGUGCUCUCAGCCCCACCCCAACACUUUUGUAUAACGGUGGUCGACUCUAAAGUUCUUUACAUGUCAUUAAGCCAAGUAAUUGCUUUACUUAUUUUGUACAAUCAGCAGGUAUAAUUCAUGAUACUUUUAUUUUCUUAAUGUUCUUAUAAUUAUUUAUUUGAUAUUUAAAAAGAAUUAGGUAUCAAGUAUCUAUAAUUUAAACAUAUAUAUACACUUUGGAGAUAUUGAAAUCAUACUACUACCAUCGCAUCUAAAUUCCUGUGUACUUAUACUUCUGGGUUGCUGGUUAUUACCACCGCAGAAGCAAAAGCAAUGAAGAAAGUUAAAAGUGCGGUCGAAAAAUGUUUUUUCAUCUAAACACAAAAGCUGAAAAGCCGAGAUUUAAGUGUUUUAGUUUUUAUAUUUGAAAGUAAAAAUUAUUAAAAUAUUUUUAUUUAUAUUAACAAACUACAUCUUUUCGUACUUUUUUUGUCUCACUUUUCUAAAGCACUUUUGUAAAACUGGCCCUUGACCAGAUAAUCUUUAUUUAUAUCAACAAAUAACUGAGUUUCACUGUAUGGUACCUAUAAAUAUCCUCUGCCUUUCCAGAGUAUUUUUCUCCUCUUUUUAAUUGAUGAGUUCUUGGACGGUACUAGCCAUUACAACAAAUAUUCUUUCAUUUAUAACAAUAUAAAUCCAAUCUAAUAUAAAGCUCAUCAUUGAUGGCAAAAUUGGUACAUUAAUGCUAAAAUGACAAUGAAAUGAACAUAGUUCAAUAUAUUAGGAGUUAGGUUUAGGAAUGCUUAUGUGCAAGUGUGGUAUGCAUUGUUACCCCAUCAAAAUGGCUAAUUUUGGCUAUUCAUUAAAUGCAAGCAAUGGAAGGUUUUGUAUGUUCAAUUAAUGAUUUAUUAGAUAAAAAUUUUCAUAUAAUAUUUAUAUCUUAGAGAAAAUCAAAUGAGGAAAACAAAUCUAAUUGCUAUAUGAAAAACAUUAUUUGCAGCAUGCCUUAACCUGCCAUCCAGUAAUUCAAAACAUACACGAUUUUUAGAUUUCAACUCAUUGAAAUAAAAUGACAAAUAAUGCGAUGAAAAGACUAGUUACUACAAACAAAAUGUUAAGAACAACUUUGAAAAUUAUUUAGUAACCGGUAACACAGAUGAAGCUGCGAUGUAUGUUUCGGAUUCGAAGGCUUCCAAGAAGGAUUGUGCGAAGAUCAAAAUAUGGAGUCCACCCGUGGAAGGUUCGUUGAAAUUCAAUGUUGAUGGUGCAUUUAAGGGUGAUGUGUAUCAUGGAGGGUGCGAAGGUGUUUUAACGGACUCGAAUUAAAUACUAGUGUGCAUGUGUGUACUGAAAUGACUAAUUCAUAUAGUAAAUCAUUCUAAUUUGAAGCCUGGGAUAGCUAGCUUCUAUCAGUAAAUUCUAUGUAUAAUUUCAGCAACAUCUCAAUACACAGUAAUAGAAUUUUUAAUUAACAGCACAAAAUCAUCACCACCAUGAUCAUCAUCAUCAUCAUGCAAUGCUUCUGAAAGAAUGAAAUGUCAAAGUACUCGAAGCAGGAUAUUCGAAAGGUAUGCACCCUCUGGGUAGGAUGGGUCAAUGGGAUGAUCACAGCCGGCUCCGCUCUGCCUUAGGACUGUGAUUUUUCUCUCGGCCAUUGAGGCGGCGCCCUGGUUUAGAGAACAAACUUGGAAUUUAGGAGCUCUUCAUCCAUAUUCCUACUUCUGUAGAGCAAGCUACGUAUUUCUCAACUUUUGUGUUUCUAGAUUUAUCAUUGUUUAUAUAAAAAUGAAGGCUAUCAAAAGCUAGUUCUUGCUUCAUUGCUUCCGAGAACAAAUAUUAGAUGAUAAUAAAUUUCCAACUAUCUAGUCUUGUAACCUGCUUCGAUCUGGCUCUUAAUUGGAUUAAAUUCAUAUGUAGGGGUGUAAUCGUGUCAAGCCAAGCUGAGCCUGAAUACUAGCAAGCUCGAGCUUCACUCAAAGCUCGAAACUCGAUAUUCCAACUGAACUCGACUGAACAUCUAUUCUUAAGCUCGAAUUUGGCUCGAGAUAUAAUCAAGCUCCUCAAGCUCGAGCAAGCUCGUUUAUCAAUUUUUGUACUCAAGCUUGAACUUGAGCUCAAUUAAUCGUAUGUUCGAGCCCGGCUCAAUAAUAAUGCUUACGGUUAAUAAUAUACUAAGGGCAGUAAUGUAAUUUAAUAAUAUUUAAAACAUAUGUUAAAAAUGAGAAGAUCGUAAGGCUUGCAAGCCGAGUAUUACUAAGCUUGAAGUCAACUUGAUUGAUAGCUAGCGCUCGAGAUCAAGCUCGAGCUCGGCCCGAUAAUUACCAAAUCGAGUUCGAAUUCUUUUCAAAUCAAACUCAAAUAGUUUGUGAGCGCCAAUGUCUCAUUUUUCAGUUUAACAAAUAAAAUUUUUAUUUAUAAAGAUCUUGGGAUAUGGAAGGUAUAUAAAAUCUCGCUAUGUUCAAAAGGGAAACAAAAAUAGUAAAAAGAUAAAGCAGAAAACUUGCAUUACCUAUCCUCAAGUGGAAGAAAGUGCCUUUUUAAGGUAUUACUAAAAUAGUGACAAGGCAAUGUGAAUGGUAACAAAUCAAACCAAUUUCUUUUCUUGUAACAAUGCAAAUUUUGUAGAGUUACGCAUACAAUAUAUAUUCAAGGCAUUGUCAGAUGGUUUCUAGUGCUCAAGAAAGUACACAGAAAAAUCAUUUACCUGAAGAGUGCGCAAGAAUGUCCCACUUUGAGUCAUCGCUCCUGAACAAGAACAGGUCAUGAGAAGGCCACCUCUUCUAGUUAUUUUCAUUGCUAGUGAGUUUAAGUUUCUAUACAUGCCUGAAGCACUUUGGAGAACCUGGGUAUUAUUAGCAUCCAAGAGAAACAUGAAAAGCAUAUAUGAUGUAUUAUUAGACUUAUAGUCACAGCUUAAUAUUCAUAUAUGAGAGAUGCCGGAUUCGGGAUGCAUGAGAAGUUUUACAUGUUCAUUUGUGUGACAGUAUAAGUGAAAAUGUAGCAUAUUCUUGUUUAUUAAUUAAUUUGGAAAAACAGCAAAGAAAAAUUUAUUUGAUUUCCUCCCAAAACAAAGAAUAAGAAAUUAAUUUCGACUAAACAUAAGCUGCCUUGAGCUACUCAUGCACUUGAUGAUAUUUGUAUAAUAUUUCAAAUAUGAAUUACUAGAUAGGAGAUAAAUGGUUAAAAUAUACUCUAAAUCCCUAUACUCUUCCUACAUUUGGAAUUUAGUCCCUCAACAUUUUAGAUUUCAAAAUUCAGGUCCAAUUAUUAGCAUAGUUAAAAUUUUCUAUUAAAUUUACCGGUGUGACAUUUUGAAAUUUAAACAAAAAAAAACCCUCACUUGAUGGCCAUGUAAAAAAUGACGUUAUAAUGAACUUAAAUUUAACGAUGUUAACAAUUGGACUUGUAUUUUUAAAUCUGAAAAGUAGAGGAAUUAAAUUCCUAAAAAUAAAAAUAAAGGGACUAAAUUCCAAAUUUAGAAAGAGUGAAGGGAACUGUAACAUAUUUCAACCUAGAUUAAUCAGCAGGCAUACAGAUUAGUCUGUCUGCAUGAAUAUGCCUGAACGUGUAAACCAGAAGUCUGGUCACCUUCCAAUGUUAUCUAAAGGGAUAUUAGAUAGUGCUAAAUGAUAUAUAUAUAUUAGUAAUACCUUUCUGCUUGGUGCAAGUUUUGGAGGAUCAAGAAUAACUAUAUCCCAUGAGUCAUUUCUAGAAAGAGCACCCUUCAUAAAUACAGUUGCAUCUUCUCUCAAAAAAGAUGUCUUUUCAGGGUCCAGAUUGUUGAGAGCAAUAUUUUCUCUGGCUAGCUCUAGUGCAGGCAAUGAUGUAUCAACACCUAAAAGAAUAUCAGACAAAAUCACAUUAACAGUCCCAGAAAAUAUCUGCAAUCAUUGAGAAAGAGUUUUGAAGUAUCUACGUAGAUGUACCUUAUGACAAGGAAUAUCGAGAUGGUUAAUAUGGAAGCAACUUAAGGUCAAAAACUAACUCAAUUCAACUUAGCUAUACUUCGAUUCCAUACCAGUUGGAUUCUACUAUAAGGAUUUUCAUGGCCGUCUUCUUCAAAUUUUAAGAAAUUCAGCUAUUUGGCAAAGAAAAGCGGCAAAUCCAAAGUCUAGGAGAUAGACUAUGACCGGAUUUUGGCACUACUGGAUCAAAUACAUAAUUUCGAGCAGAUAGUGAAAAUGACCAAAUUUGAGUAAGAAAUUACAUUACCAUGAUACUAGGUUAUGAUAGUUCUACUUUACAAAUUUCUAAAUAAAUUGGCCUUGCACUAUUAUUAGUUGGCUGCAAUUUCUAAAUAAUCAUGCCAGGCAUCCUUGACAACUAUUAAUUAAGCAAAAACAUUCAGUACAAGUAGGCAUUUAGCAAACAAUUAACAAAAAUCUCGGCAGUCACGUACCGGUAAUACUCAUAGCACCUCCUUUUGCGGCAUUUAGGGCAAAACCACCACUAUAGCAGCAAACAUCUAGAACUCUCUGACCAUAGGAAAUCGUUGACAAGAACAUUCGAUUUUCCCGCUGAUCAGCAUAAAAUCCCGUCUUUUGACCCUCCAAUGAGAUUGCAUAAGAUAUUCCAUUUUCUAUAACCUAAUAUAUAAAUGUAACAGACACCUUAUAAGACUCAUGUUAAACUAUGGCACUAAAACAAAAACUGAAGGACAAAGAGCAAUAGCUGUAUGAAGCAUUUCAAAAAUCCAAAGCAAAAAGGGUGACCACAGUCACUUAUCUAGAAAAAUGACAUUUCAACAAAUGAGAAAAACUGAAGUCUAAUGAUUGUCUUCAUUUUAUAAAUGAGAGAUGCAAUCCUGGAUGGAGAAUCCUCAAAUGAGAACGUUCAGAAAAUCUACAAGUGCAGAUUAAUGCCAAUAAAAAGCUUUAUAAUUUGAAAUUUUAUGAGGUCACAUAGUAUUAAUAAAAAAACAAAGAAUUAAUGUUGUAGUUAUCUAGCAUGAAAAAAUAAUUCAAUAAACAAUAUCCUCAUAUUGGCUCCAGCUCCGGCUAUCACAAUUAUGGCAUGGGACUUCCAGAAGUUGGUAGCUUCUUUCAGAUAAAGUAUAUAACAACAGCAAAGGCAUAAAAGAGCCAACUCAAUGGCAUAACAAACCACAGUUUGUCCUUGCAAUCUAUGCAUGAUGGUAGCAGUCAAUUGGAAUAUGUACAAAGGGAAUAAUUCUUCUUAUGCAUGUUGUCAGUCAUAGCUAAAUCUUAAAUGAAGUACACAUAUUUUAUUAGCAAGAAGACAAGUACAUGGAGAACUUUCAUGGUAAGCGUGACUUCAAGCUCAAAUUUUCUAGUUUUUCAAUCACCAUGGAAGAUGUGCAUCAGAAACCAAUUAAAAUGUGCAGGGUGCAAUAUUUCAAGGGAUUUCUACCUUUGUUCUCUGGGGACAAGUGGAUGGAUGCAAUUCUUUCAGAUCUGCUGCUUCUAUCCCUACUUUUAAAUUUUCAACAGCAGGUCUCCAAUGCAUAUGAUUAAUCUCGUCAAUUCUUAUAUAAUAUUGUAUCAGCAAGGACACAAGUAUAUGAACUUUCAUGAUAUGAAAGCAUAACUUCAAGCUCAGACUUUAUAGCUUUUCAAUCACCAUGGAUGUAGAAUGUGCAUCACAAACUUAUUAUUAAUGUGCAGUGUGCAAUAUUUCAAGAGAUUUCUACCUUAGUUCUCUGGGGACAAGUGGAUGGAUGCAAUUCUUUCAGAUCUGCUGCAUCCAUUCCUUCUUCUUUUAAAAUUUCAACAGAAGGUCUCCAGUGUAUAUGAUUAAUCUCAUCAAUGCUACUGAUGCAUGCUUUAACUUUUGAUUUGUAUUUCUCAACCCAAGCAGCAGAUGAUGCUACCACUGCUAAAUCUCCAAAGACAUCGACAAUUAAUCCUGACAAUCUACAGUGAAGCAGUCACAUCCAAUUUGCAAAUGAGAUGUUAAGCCUCCAGAAACAGUUUGGUAGGAAUCAGAAAUGAAUAUGAGAAAUAACGGUUGAUAUCUGAGUUACUUUGACCCUUCUGUUCUCCUUUUCUCUAUUUCUUUUUCUUUUCUUUCUUCCUCUGUUUUUUCUCACUGCUGAAACAGCCUCUUGACAGUCUCUUCUCUCUUUCUUCCCUUCUAUCUCUUUUCAAUUUUCACAAACUAAUGAAAAAGAGCUUGUAGCCUUAGGAUUCAUUAGAGAGACACCCAUAUCUCUUUUUAGGUUUUGAUAAAAUUCAGCUCGUCUUUAUUUUAUUCAUCAUCUCUUUAAAUACAAAAUGCUUAUUACAGUAAUUAAAGGAAGUCAUAUCAAUCUACAUAAAGUCCUACCAAAAACUUCUUCCAUUCAAAGAUUACUACCAAAUAACUUCUACUAAACAUCCACAACAAAGAUUCUAUGGGAUGUUGGUUAAGUUGGGUUUUCCAACAAAAUAACUAACUACACACCCCUAUAGAAAAGAGUACACACUUCGAAUUUAUAACUAUAUUCAACACUCACUGCUAUGCAAUGGUAACAUGGAGCCGUUUUUUAUAUCCAAACUCUAAGAGAAAAAUUAUAUAGGCAACUGUCGAGCAUGCAUAUGUUGUUACCAACAGCAUUUUAUUAAAUGUCAUUCCCCUUUAAAUCUUGAAUCAAAAAGUAUAAUUCAAAGUUAUAGUUACCUGUCUCCUUCACUAUUGACAAGACGAUAUGCAUUCGUAGUGGCCGAAGGAAGCCCUAAUCCACGACGUAACUCUACAGCUGCAUUGAUUCUUGUUUCAAGAAGUUUCUCCAUGUCAAGUGCACAAGAAGGAUCUCUAUAUGACAUAAUUUAAGGAAGUUAAUCGCCUUUGGGUGUAAGUAAAACCUAACUACAAAACCCUGCCCUUUUUUGAUUAACUACCUUGUUGCUUCCUCUUCUAGUUGCAUGAGCCGAACACAGAACAUGGAAACCGAAUUAUACAAACCCCAUCCAAUAGGUUUCUCUGUCCCAUCUGCUACCAACACAAUAUCUCCAGUCUUAGGUGGUGGUCUACCAAUUAUUCUAUCAAUUGCUCCACUAUAAACCAUUGGGCUUCCAUCCUUGAAUAGUUGUGUCUUACCCUUCUUUAGAAUAACCUUUGCAACACCUAUUAAAGCCAAACAAAAUACAACAAGUGUAGGAAAUUUAAAUCAAUUAACAAGCCCUUACUACAAGUUCUGUACACGUCAGCUUUCUCAAGGACUAAGGAAGAGCAUAAACAAUGAGACAACAAUCCAACACAAGACUCAUGAAAUCACUUGAGUAUCAGUUUUUUAUUACAUAGCUCCAUUUUGGUUUCUGUUUCCUGCCAUUGUCCUACAAUGAUUAAUUCAUAAUGAAAAUGAUAUUAGUGAUGAAAAAUUGACACAAUCUAAUCUAACCACCUUCAUCGCAUAGGAAGAAUCACAAAGGAAGAUAAUAUUAUCUACAUUGGACAACUUCUUACCAUACUUCACUGUUGUCUAGUAAAUUAAGUAUUUCGCUGAAUCUGACUAACAAGGUGAUGUCUAAAUGCUCAAGUUUUAUUUUAUUUUUUUUAUUUACUAUUUUCAAUGUAUAUAUCCAUGCUAUUUAAUUAUUUACAUUAUUUAUUUUAUAAAUCCUUACUUUUUAAUUUGGAUAUUCAAUAGUCAUAUUCUUGAUGUAUUUUACAUUAUUUAUUUACAUUGAUGAUGGCAUAGUCUCAUAUUCAAUAGUCAUUUUGUAAUCCUAUUGUGAUUUCAGCUAAACACAGUUUUUUAGGAUUGAGAUGUAUUUUACAACUUUUUUGCAGCACAAAUUGCCUUCCUUUUUCUUAGCUGAACUAUAUUAAUUUAUAAUGAUAUUUCCUAUUUCAUGUAAACAGUUUUUGUUACUAUUUUUUAUUGGAUUCUUAUCCCAUACACUGCCAGUGGAGUAAAAAAACUCCACAAGCGGGUAUAGGAUGAUGCCAUUUGUUUUUGGGAUGUAAUAAAAUAAUAAUUAAAAAGGACACUUGGCAUCAUCCGAAACCCGCUUGUGAAGUUUUUUUUAAGUAGCCUUUUUUAUUUACUACUUCAUGCAAACCUAGAAACAUAUACAUUAUUUUAGUUUUCUUUUCUUUAAGCUUAAGAUAAAAAGAAAAAGGACAAAAAAUUGAGGAAAAGUUCUAUGUAUUUUGUUCGGGCAGCAGACUUUGUUUAUGCUACCAUUGUUAAUGAUCCUUGGAGAUUCUUAAUCAAUUUUAUAUUGACUAGGCAAAUAAGAUAAGGAAAAGAAUGCCUGACGAACUUGUAGUCUGCUUUACCCUUUUUUAUGUGGCAUUUAUCUCUUACAUGCAAUUAGAACCAGACUGAAGAAACAUCAGAGACCCUUCUUAUAUUGUCAAAAGAAAUGCAUGAUUGCAAAAUGGACAUUCCCCACAAUAGACCCUAAUAAAUACGAUGGUCCAUGGAUUUCAUAAAAAGAUAAUGCAAAAAAGCACGAAUGAGGCAAGUUGUUUUCUACAUUAUAUCGAAACUUCCAAACAUGGAUUUGGACUUGCACUUGCUCCUUUCUUUCUUCAAGAAAGUUAAAGAUACAAAAAUGCUGACAUGCAACCAAGCGCACUGAUUUUUCUUAAGCCAGUCAAAGAAAUGUAAUUUUCAAUAAGAAAAAGUUAAAAGGAAAUGUUCAAAGCAAGUGAAAGACAAAGCAAUUCAAUCAAUUCAUAUUGCAAAUUUGGAUUUAAUACUAUGUUACUCGGAUUCGGGUAUGAGUGCGGAUACAGAUAUCAAUAUGUAUCCAACACGGGUGUGGUUAGAUUUUUCUAAGUUUCUCCAUGUUUUUGAAGAUCCUUGGAGGUCACAUCCCCAUACCCAAGUGUCAAUUGGAAGACUCCACUAAAAAAUAAGAGUCCAAGCAACAUAAAUUUAAUAUCUCACUGCAAAUUUUCUCGUUUUGUUUGCUACUCAACUUGCCCCCCAUCCCCUUCAAAUGUGUUAAAACAAUGAAGUGUAAACAGUAAAAAACCAAAAUUGUAGAGGGUAUUUGAUUAAACCAGGAAAUUGGUCAAAAUCUAAGGUACUCGAAGUUCGAACAUAAUAGAUCCAUAACAAGCUAAAAUUACUAUUCGUUUAAUCUUUACCAUCCAAAGUCUUUUUUUUUUCUUUUGCAUCAGAAAAAAUACCAAAAAAAGAAGGAAGAACAAUGCACCGAAAAUUUAAUCAAUCUCCUCUAAGUCAAUCAAAACAGCUAGACCAAUCCAAACCUGAUAGCUUUACAAAUAGUCGAAGAACAAAGAAAGAACUGGUAAAAACGAAACGGAAGCAUCAGCAAACAGAAAAUAAGGGAAGAAUGAAGAACCUGCCUCUCAAGAAAAUGAAAUGCCUAAAAGAUGAAAGCAUUGUAGCUUGAAAUUAAUCAGAAACAAGUAAUUGGUCGCAGAGAGUUUGUCUUUGGAAGAAACCAACGUACCUUUGGGUUGAGAAGAAGCAAAACGCUGAAGGGAAGAGAACGGCGGUGGCGGUGGUGGUGGUAGUGGGAGGUGAGCGUGAGAACAGGAGAGACACUUCAUAAGGCGGGCUUGAAGCUGCUGCUGCUGCUGCAUGCUUCUUUCCACAAUAUUAUCGAGUCAGGAUUUGGUCCGGGUAUCUAAUAUAGUUUUGUUAUAUUUAUAUAUAUGUUUUAAAGUAUAAUUAUAUUUUAAUAAAUUUAUUUAAGAUAUGAAAUUUAAAUUUAGUAAUAAAACAAAAAAAAUAUUUUUUUUAUUUUUUUAUAUUUGAGUCGGGUAUUUUAAUUUAGGUGUUGUUUGUUUAAAAAUUAAGUACGUAUUUCAUAAAUUAAAAAAAUUAAGUCUUGAAUUUUUAGUAUUGAUUAUUUAAACUUCAAAUAUAGAUCUUGAACGAUUAGAGGUGUUCAAACAGGUAACCGAUCGAUUAACCGAAUUGAAUUUGUAUUAAUCGAAUCAAUCGAAUUUUUUAAUCCUUUAACUAUUAACCGAAUCAAAAUAUUUCGAUUACUUCGGUCAGUUAACCGAAUUAAUUGAAAUUUAUAUUUUUUUGUUAAAACAAAUAUAAAACAUAUAAAAAAUAAAUUUAUAAAGUUCAUUUGACUAGAUUAACUGAAUUAACCCAACAACUAAUAGUCUAAUACAUAUUAUAUAUAAUAUUAUUUAUUAAGUUCAGUUAAUCAAGUUAAUUACCUAAUUUUGAAUUGAAUUAACUGUUAACCGAAAUUUUAAAAAACUUUUAACUGACCUUUGACCAAACUAGAUCGAUUAACCGACCAAUUAACUGAAUUAAAUCAAUUCAGUGGAUUAAUUCAGUUUUAACUACAAUGACAGAUUUUGAACAAGAGAUUUAGAGUUUCUCAAGUCUCUUUGGCAGCCAGUUGCUUAGCCAUUGAACAAUUAGUCGUCACCCAUCUUUGCUACUCCUGCUUCGACCAUGAUACCAAUCAUCAGUUAUUUUUUCGAAAUAAUAAAGUUUUUUCGUUCAAGUGUUAGCCCAUGCUUUGGCUUUACUUAGUGAUAUAUAUAGAGCUCGAGUAGUAACGAUUUGAUUUUUCUAGUCCUUAGUUUUUUGGUUUGAUUGAAUUUUCAUAAGAAAUGUCUGGAUUUUCAUUACACAUGUUUGAUUUAAGUCAUCUACGAAGUUAAAGAUCUAUGUUUAGCUGUAUUAAAGUUUUUUUCUCUUAAAGGUCGAGAGUGUCAUAUAGUGAGAUUUGAAAAUACGUGUCACCCAACAAGACUUUCUAAACCUCAAUGAUGUUGAAUUGAUAUAAUUUACAAAUGAUACAUGGUUGGGUUCUUAUCAUUUGUUAGAUAAUAAAAAUUGACGAGAUAGAACUAUCUAUUGAAGUGAUACGAAACAAGUAUGAGCGGCAUAUAUCAAAACUCUAUUAGCUUAUUAUUUAAAAUAGAAAAUAAUAUUAAAGUAACGGCAAAAUUAAACAAAACCUUCCAAUAAUAUAAAGGAUAACAAUAUGCAUGAUAAAGAAAACUUUUUUAGCCCUUCUACCAAUGCAAUCAAUAAAGAGAGCUCUAUAAAUAAUACUAAUAUAAAAAUUAAAAAAAAAUUUGGAUAGGUGAGCUGAAAAAAAAGAAAUUAAACCAUAAAUCUAUUCAAAUUUUAUUUUUUAUACUUAGAACUAUUCAUAAUCUCUUCAAAACUUUUAAAUAGAAGGAUAAUAUGUUUCGGCAUACUCAAACUUACAUUCUCUUAUAUUGGCAACAAUGCUAAUGCAAAUGAAACUAAGACUCGAUCAACUAUACAUAUUCUUGUAAUAGAGUUUGAUUUAUAAAAUUUCUAAAGGUCAAAAGGAGAGAGAGAAAAUGGUGAAAGAAACAAUAAGAAAGUGUUAACAUUGUGGACAUAAUGGCCAUAAUUCAAGAACAUGAAAUGGAAAAGGAAGUGGUGUUAAGCUAUUUGGUGUGAACAUAGCUGUUGUUGUUGCCAUGGAUGAAAAUUUGAUGAAGAAAGGCUUGAAUGGGGAAUUUACGGUCCCAUAACAUUGGAGAAAAUUAAAACAACAAUGGUGGUGGUUGUGGAAGAUGAUGAUGGGUUUUUGUCUAAUGGAUAGAUUCAUGAAAACAGCCCAUGGAAGGAAAACAUGUAAUCUACUUGCACUCUUCUUUGCUUGUUUAGAAAUUUGAUUUAUUUCAGGAUUUAGGAUUAAAUUUGUUCAGUUUUAUUUUUUUAAAGUUUUUUCUUAAAAGAUUUAUUUAUUUAUUGAAAAAAAAUUCACACAGCGGUUCGUAGGACUCCAGUCCUCUAAUAUAGAAAAUUUUUCAUUUAGUGUAUUUAAAAUUUUUAAAAUUUUAAAUUAAUAAAAGUAAAAUUAUUUUCUUUUUAAUAUUGAGUAAAACAAUAAAUUUUUAAAUAUUACAACCUACAGGAAAAUAUAUAUGUCAUUCUCACUAAUUUUUUUAAAAAAAUUAUAAACUUUUUAUAUUUUUUAAUAGUGACCUGUAACAUAAUGUACACAUAGAUUGCCAUAUCAACAUCAUUAAAAAAUUAAUAUUUUGGUCGAUAUCUCUGUUAAAAAAUAUUUUUUCUUCAAAUGUUAAUGGUCAAAUUUAACUUUUUGAAAAUCAAAUUGCCAAAAGAUACAUAUUAUUAUCCUAUGCACUGCUAAUGAAGUAAAAAGACUCCACAAUUGAUAUUUUUUUAAAUACAUUUAUGAAGUUUUUUGUUGCAUUAACAGUAAUUACCAAAAUUAAAUCAAAUUGUUCCAAUGUAAAAGCUCUGAUUUUGUUCUUUGUUGUUGUCACAGGGGAGAACAAUUUUUGUUUGUUAUAUAUUUUGGAUCUGAAGUUAAGACAAAGACACAGAAAAUCUUGUCUUGCCGACAGGACACCACCAAAAUGUUUGGAUCUUACGGUAACAUCCCAAACAUUCCGAAGACAAACUCAAGUCCAUAUAAAAAGGAUGACUAAAAAAAAGUUAAUUCAUUAAUAAUAUCAAAUUACAGAGAAACAGGGGAUCCCCAAAAAGAAUAGAGUGAAAAUAAAAGUUCCCCAAAAAAACUACAACUUUUCCCACGAAACAAACAGACCUCUUAAUAUCAUAAAAACCCAGAAACUAAACAGUAAACCCAUUUUUCCCAAUACCAAAAAAAAAAAACCUAUUUUUUAUAUUUUUAAAUUUUAAGUGUAUCAAUGAAGUGUUUCCCAUCAGCAAUAUCAUUAUUUGCAAGAAAAUCCAAGAAAUCCCUAAAACUACUUUCUUUAUACCUCUUUGGAUUUUGUUCAUCGAUAAGUUCAUUAGCGGUUUCCAUUUUAUCAUCCAUCCCCAAACUAUGUAAACUUGCAAUGGAAAUCCUAGUUUUUUCACUGUUCAAUGUAGCCCUAUGAACCACACUUUUGUAUACCCCAUUGCUCAUCACUUCAAAAUGGUCACCUAUAUGAACUUGCAAUGCACCAUGAAGUUCAGGGACCAUUUUCCAAUUUCCAUCAUCAGUGUCCAAUAUUUCAAGACCUGUUGAGCUUUGUAAGAUAAUGGUUAAACAAGUGUAGUCUGAAUGUGGUGGUAACCCUAAUGCCAUUUCUGGUUUAGGACAUGGCGGGUAACAAUUUACUGCCAUGAUUUGCAUGCCACGGUCCAUUUUUGGGGUUAGUCGAUUCGGGGAUAUCCUGAGACUGAGACUUUCAAUGAUCAUUCCCAUUAGUUCGAGGGCGAGGUUUCGAACUUGUGCACAAUAUUUACCCAUUUUCUCCCUGAAAACACAUCACAAAUUUAAAUAAGCAUGAUGAGUUAGAUAUAUUGCGUAUAUCUAUAUUAGUUGUCAAAUUGCAUUUUGUUAUUUUUAUUCAGAAAAUGGCAAUUUAAUUCUCGUACUAUUAAAAAUUUCAUCCAUUUCUACUAUUAAAAACUAGCAGGCAAUAGGCAUGCAAUAAUCAGUUUUUAGUAGAAGUGGAUAGAGUUUCUAACAGAAGGACUAGUUUGCUCUUUAAUCAUUAUAUAAAGACUAUUUUACCUAUUUUUUGAAUAAAAAAGACUAAAUGUAAUCAAAAUCUUAAUAUAAAAACUUACAACAAUACUUUUUACCAUAUACAUAAUUGGGAACCUACCUGUAUUGAGGAGGGUUAUGGGGCCAUGAAUCAAUCCAGGCAUCCAAGGGAUGUGCAUAAUGCUCGAGGAAAACUCUCCAAAAUUGGACCUUGUCAGCACCGUCUUUCAAGCUUGUGCCGUACCGUACCGGGUUGUAAACGUCAUUUGACUUGAAUUUAAGCUUCUCUUCACUUGGCAGAUCGAAAAAACCGAGCGCCAUUGCGAGUGCUUCAUCGAGAAUAGAUUGGCUAAUCCCAUGGUUCACAACCUAAUGCAAAAAAAAAAAAAAAAAAAAACAUACCUCCUUUGUUAAUAUACACAAGUAUAUUCAACUUUAAACUAAAAAAUAUUCGAAUUCAAUUCGAUAAUUAUCGAGUCAACCAAAUUCAAGCAUCUUUAUAUUCAAGAACAGAGACAUAAAUUUAUAUUAAAAGAUCGGGUUGAAUUAUAAAUGUUUGGGAAUCAAAACUAACAAUAACAACCAUUUUUAGUUUUGGAAAACAACUUUUAGUACUUAAUUAGCCUAAUGGAGUUCGAAUAUAAAGUUAAAGUAAUUCGACUAUAUUUUUGAGUUGAACUCGAACUUAGAAAACAAUAUUUGAUUAAGCUUGAACUAAAUAUCGAAACCAGAAGUUAGAGUCAAAGCAAAACCAAGGGAAAAAAAUACUCACUUGAAAGAAGCCCCUAUGGCGACAAGCUUCACCAAGUUCUUCAAUGGCGAUUGAGCGUUUAUUGCCAUUCAUUCUUAACCGAGACAUAUCGAUGGUCGGAAUUCGAGCUUUCUCAGUACCCGAACUUGAAGAUUUCGAAGGCGAAACGACGUAACAUUCCGGAACAUAAUCCAAACCCUUCUCUUGUGCUGUGUUUCCAAUAGUAAACGAACUCGGAUUUUUGUCUCCAGACAUUCUGUUUGGACUUCGAGGAGAAAAAAAAACCCCAGAAAACAGAGCAAGAAAAUGAAAAGAAAUACACGUUGUGGGAUACUAAAAACAUGCAAAUAUAUAUAGUGAGAAAGAGUUGGGUCAGCUGUGACGAUUUAAACUCAAAUCAUAAAUGCUUGAAAUGCAGAUUAUUAAAAGUUGUUUUAAAGCACAACAUUCCAAAAUAUAAUUUUCUACAUAUUGACAUUCAUUCAUACAUGUAUGUAUAUUUAAAUGUUUAAGGUAUGGGUUUGUGGAUAUAAACUAUGGAUGACAAGAGGUGGAUAUAAUUAUAUGUUUUUAAAUUUGAGAUUUUGCAAUGUUUGCGAUCAUCAUGUUUAUCCAGGUUAAUAAAUGGUAGCUGAAAAACAAAACAGCACUUUACGGCUAAACGACACUCAACAUAUUGGGUGUAACUUGUAUGCCACCGCGUUUUAUGUUGCAAUGAACCGGUUCCAAUUUUUUCACCCAUUUGAUGAAUUUAAGAUUUAUAUGAACUUGGAAUUGAAUUUGAGUCUAAAUUAAUCUAAUUUUAUCUAAAAAUUCAAGUAGUUUGAAUAUUAAAUUCGAAAAAUGAAAAAUUUAGAUAACUUUAAUUGGUAAUUGAGUUGAAGCUAAUUGAUAUAUUAUUGACUAAAUAUGAUAGAUGGGUAGAUUAGGUUAAUUUGGGUGUAUCAAUUUAAGUUUUAAUAUUUUCGAGUCAUUUUAGAUUUGGAUUAUUUCAAAUUUAGAUUAUGGUCGUUUAAGUUUGUUACAAAUCGGGUCAUUUUAAGUUUUGUCAUUCUUGUUUGACAUUCAGCUUUGGUCAAUCCGAAUUACUUGCUAGGAUCAUUUUAUAUCUGAUAUCAUCUUAAGUUCAAGUUAAUUUUUAAGAUUUUUGGCUUUUUAUUACCAACAAUCAAGCAUAAAUAUGAUAAUGCUCAUGUAUUCCUUACUACCACUUGAUUAUUGUUUUUAUUAACAAAAUUUUAAGAAAAAAUUGUUCUCGUUAAAAUUCACAUUUCAAGUCUCUAUUAGUCGAUGCCGAUUAAAUCUUAGCUCGAUUUGCAUGGGCCUCGUUCCUAAUGCAAGAGGGCGCAGGCUCAAAUGCACUGAAGCAUAUUAUCUUCCUAUUUAUGGGUUAGAGAAGGGCUAUGAAUAGUUCUAUGCUUUAUCUCAAAAAGAACUAAUAUGAUCAUAAUUAAAAUUCUUUGUUGACACACCAAUAAUUUAAUAUCUUACUUCUUCACUCGAUAUUAACCAGUAAAAAUAAUAAUACAACAAACUUAUGAUAUCUCGAUUCAAGAUUUGAAGGCAAGAGUUGAAUAUGAGUAUACUUAAUUCUUUUUAAUAUUUGAAGACUGUAUAUUCAUAUGGAUCUUAGGAUAAGAAAUAUAUGUUAUCCAAAAUCGAGCAACAUGAUACCAAUAUUAUUGCUCUUUAAACUAUUAAUGACUUUGGAAGCACUGUCUUGAUUCUACCUAAUCAAUCUUCAAUCUCAUCUUUACAAAUUUUUUUAUAUAAUUUUUAAAUUAUUCAUAAAUCUCGUCAAAUUCUUAAAUUGAAAAAUACUAUGCACUAGAACCCAUUCCUACCAAGUUGUUGCAACAAUGGCGCCAACUAAGUUAAGAUAAAAUCAAACUUUACAAAAACCUUUUAUCUAUAUUAGAUUUUGUCACACGCGACUUGGGUGAAAAAAAUUUUAAUAUUAAAAUUAUAUUUAUAAAAAAAAAACCUUGUUCAAUAAUUCAAUCAUAAACAAAGUGGUAAAGUAUUUACAAAUAAUCAACAAGAUUUGGGUGCAAUUAUGAGUCAUAUUGCAUUCCCAAUGGGAGACACAUGUUUAAAUCUAGAAAACGACAUUGUUAAGAGGAGCAGCUACAAGUCCGAAAUGGUUUAAGUAAUUUCCCUACCGAGACACCUAGAUCCAGCUGCAUACUUGUAUGUAUGAUAUGAUUUUACCAAAUCCAGGUUUCCUUUUUAUAUGAACUACAAGUUUCGGUACAAAUCAUGUUACUAACCUUGUUUGUCAAAUCUAAAAACUUAUCAAAGUAUAAUGAUUGGAAGAAGUGAAAGGAGGAUUGAAGUUUUUCAUUUCAAAAACAGGGAUUGUUUUGGAAAAUAGUACAAAUACAAAUACGAUUUUUGUUGCAGCAAGGGAAGACUAUUAGGAUGUUUGUAUAUAUACAAAGGAUUGGUUAUCUUGUUUGUAUCUACAUUUGAAAACCAAUAAUAAAGAGAAUGAGAAUGUCACCUCUAAUCAAAUGGAUCAAUUCGUGGGUCGUGUUCGCUUGCCAUUGCCAUUCCGGUGCAAAGACACGUAGGGCACAUAACCUGCCAAAGUUACCAAAAAAGGGUCACGAGUGAACAAAUGAAUGAUGCGAAAUAAUGCUAUAUCUGGAAAAGAAAGGUAAAUAAUGAAAGCCAUCAAAUUUCCCGGUUGAUAUAUGCACAAGUAAACAACACACCACUGAGACCAUAUAUUUUUAGAUGACAAACCUUUCCGGAUCCCAAACAGUUUGAACAUCUUUCCGUUUUGGGGGUUGAUAAAGGACGGUCUCCACCAUUUAGUGUCGAGACUGGUUCGGUAAGAACAAGUGAUCCGGUACUUGAGCAGCGAGCACAAGCAAGAUAUCCUGCAUUUACCGGAGGAUAAAAUACAGUGUCUUUUUUUUGAAACUUUACAAGUACAAUCAGAGUACAAAUACAAGUACAUGUCUGAGCUACCAGAAAGUGUAGACUGUAGAAUCAAACUAUUACUAGGGCUGAGCAAGAGCUACAAAAAAGUGUAGAAUCAAACUAUUACUAGCACUGAGCAAGAAAAACCGAUCCGAACAAAGGUGUUUGGACGGUUAAUGGAAUACAAGUUUAAAAAACACGGUUAUCCAAAACCAAAUCAAAUUUUAUUUUUUAUUUAAUAUAUAAUUGAUUUUAAUUUUUUUUAUGAUAUAAAAAUAAAUAUUUUAUAUUUAAAAUAGUGAAAAUAAUUUAAAAGUUAUUAAAAUUUUAUUUUUUUUAGAAAUAUUUAUAAAAAAGGCUUUGAAUUUUUGUCAAAUAAUAUUCAAAAGCUAUAGAGCAAAGUUCAUUUUGUUAAAAUAAGUCUAAAAAUCCAAAAUAAAAAACUAAUAUAGAAAAAUUGAGAACUGAGCCAAACCGAAUUAUGACGGACGGUUCAAAAAAUCUAAAAUACCUAACAGAACUAAAUUGAACCGAUAUCACCCUUAACUAUUACAGUAUAGACGAACUAAAACCUGAAACAAUCCAAACUAAUAUUGACUAACCGAACUAAAACCUAUGCAUAUAAUUGCACUUGGGUCUAGAACCUGGGAACUUGGAACCCUAGGUAAACAGAAAGUUUCAGGAAUAUACCUGUUCCAAGACAAUACUUGCAUCGUUUAUGCUCUUGCUGUUUAACAUUGUUUAUUUCAACUACCAUCAAGGCUGAGAUAACCCCUACUGCUCCUCCAGAGAAGGAUGCCACUAUAGGAUCAACCUGACUGCAUUUACCACCAAUGGAACCACGUUAAAUAAUACCACAACGAAACAAAAUUGCAUGCGCCGUUUAAGAUUUGGUAACCAAGACAGAUGCCACUUCUCUUUAGAAGCCAAACUUGUCUAAGAAAUUAAUUCCCCACUAAUAUUUCUAAGUAAAUAUAAGCUGGCUUGCAACAAUUGCGGUAAGUGUUACACUGAAACCAAAAGGACAUCAACUUCUUCGUGGUUAAAAAGGUAGCAUUCAAGCGAGCUUAAGCUAUACCUAAUAAUAAACAUCCACUACAAACCAAGAGGAUCAAUCAUACCUCAACUGCAUUGGCAGAUGUACACUACGGAUGAAAUCUGCAUAUGAUGUGCCCCCCAGUCCUAGCUUAAGCUCCAGCUAGGGUAUGGGAAGAAGAAAUAAGACAUGUAAGGAAAUAGAAUAUGAUUCCAAAAACAAUAUCUAAUUCUAUCAUGUGUAUUUUCAUGUUAAAAUCAGAUGUUUAUUAAAAGUGAUCAUCUCCUUACUAAUUUUCGUAUAUAUAAUGGACUAUUUCCCUUCAAAUGAUUUAUCCUCUCAGGAACACGUUCCAUUCAUUCUAUUCUUAAAAGAACAAACCAACUAGAGAGAGACUAGAUUCCAAAUGUUGAGAGCAUGAAUGACUUACAGUGGGUGCUAGAAGUCCACCAAAAAUAAUAAUUCCAGCAAUAAGAGAAUAACAAGUCACAUAAUAAACCUUGAGAUUUGCUGAGGUCUGCAAGUGAAAUACCCGGUCAAAGAUAUAUGAUUGUAAAUAGAUCAACUUGGAUUUAAUUUCAUUUAUUAACAAGUAAAAACAAUAGGCUGAUGGAAUAAAAACAAAUCAUUUUAAGAAAAUCUCACCAAUGGAGGCAGGAAUGGGAUGAAUGAUGGAAAAUUAGGAAGUUCACUUUCUUGCUCUUCCUUGAAAAUACCUAGUUCAGCACUUUUAAUUCUCUGUUGUAUCCUUAGCCUCCGAACCUACAAGAAUAUUAUUUGAGGGGUGUAUCAUUUGAUUAAGCAAUCAUAUGGUUUUCUCAGUAUAAAUGCAUGCAGAAACUUCCCCUAUUGACAUCGACAACUCAAAAAUCUAAUUAAAAGAAAAGCAGUGGAUUCACCUCUUCCAUUUGGAGAAAGAUUUUGUUUCGCCGACUUCGAAUAUUAUCCUCAAUUUCUUGAAGUUCCAUCUUAGCGAAAUCCUGGACUGUUUCAGGCCCUUCUAUGAUGCAAAAUCUGCACAUUUUGUAAUCAUAAAUUCCCAAGAUUUUGAAAUUCAUGUUUUUCUAUACAUUUCAAAUACAUAAUCAAAGUUCAACCUUAACUAAUUUGUCUUUUCAUAGCUCAUAGUUAAUAUAACAAAUAAAAAAUCCAAAUUCAGCUUUUCAUAGCUUAUAAAAUCAUAAAUUCUUAAGAUUUUGAAAUUUAUGUUUUUCUUAAUACAUUUCAAAUACAUAAUCAGCGUUCAACCUUAACUAAUUUGGCCUUUUCAUAGCUCAAAAUUAAUAAAAGAAAUGAAAAAUCCAAAUUCAGCUUUUCAUAGCUUAUAAAAUCAUAAAUUCCUAAGAUUUUGAAAUUCUUGUUUUCUUAUACAUUUCAAAUACAUGAUCAAAGUUCAACCUUAACCAAUUUGGCUUUUUCAAGCUCAAAAUCAAUAUAACAAAUGAAAUAUCCAAAUUUAACUUCUCAUACCUUAUAAAAUCAUAAAUUCCUAAGAUUUUGAAAUUCAUGUUUUUUUAAUAUAUUUCAAAUACAUAGUCAAAGUUCAACCUUGACUAAUUUGGCUUUUUCAAGCUCAAAAUCAAUAUAACAAGUGAAAUAUCCAAAUUUAGCUUCUCAUACCUUAUAAAAUCAUAAAUUCCUAAGAUUUUGAAAUUCAUGUUUUUUUUAAUAUAUUUCAAAUACAUAGUCAAAGUUCAACCUUAACUAAUUUGGCUUUUUCAAGCUCAAAAUCAGUAUAACAAAUGAAAAAUCCAAAUUUAGCUUCUCAUACCUUAUAAAAUCCUAAAUUCCUAAGAUUUUGACAUUCAUGUUUUCUUAUACAAUUCAAAUACAGAAUCAAAGUUCAACCUUAACUAAAUUUGGCUUUUUCAGAGCUCAAAAUCAUAAAUUUCAAAAUUCCUAAGCUUUCGAAAUUUGUGUUUUCUAAUACAUUUCAAAAUUCAUAAUCAAAGUUCAACCUUAACAAAUUUGCUUUUCAUAGCUCAAAAUUAAUAUAACAAAUGAAAAAUCCAAAUCUAGCUUCUCAUACCUUAUAAAAUCAUAAAUUCCUAUGCCUUCGAAAUUUAUUUAUUUUAUACUUUUUCAAAUACAUAAUCAAAAUUCAAACUUAACUAGAUUAAAAUUUAAUUCUCACAAUUCAUAUAACAAAUGAAAUUCGAAAUUUUCAAAUUCAUUAGCAACAGAGAAAUUACCCGGCGGCAGUUUUAUCGGCGGGAGAAUCGGAUUCAACAGACUGCGCGGAGGAAGAUGAAUCCGGCUCGGUAGCCAUAGAUCGCCAUCUCGAUUUCAAUUCGCAUUUCGUAUGAACAAAUCUAGAGCUCAAAGAAGGAGGCUUGUAUGGAGGCGAAGGCUUUACCGUACAAGAAAUCGUCAACACUCGACUCAAACAAACCAUCCUCAAGAAGAACAAAAUUCUUCAAUCUCAAUAACUCUCUCUCUUUUUUUUUUCUCAAUAAAAUUUCAUUUCAGCGUUGUUUUUCCAAAAAAAGGAAAAAAAAAUGUAAGUUCAUUGCUGUGAUUUUAUUGUUUGAUGCUGAAACAAAUUAAUCAACCGACGACUCUAUUGGUCUAAUUUUGCCUCAGGUUCUUAUACUCUUGGGACAUUUGAAAUUUAGUCCUCUACAUUUAAUUUAAAAUUCAAUACCGUUGUUACUCGCUUUUGCUAAAUUUGAACCUAUUAUUAAUUGCACUUUAAUAUAAGUGUAAAAAAAUAUAAAUAUAUAUUUAUAAAAGGUUUAUCUAAAAACUUUGGUUAAAUAGUUAAUUUAAAUUUUUAAUAAACACAAUGUUUUAGUUUUAAUAUCAUCAUAGUAAUAUUUUAUAAAAUUAUUUUUUUGAAACUUUUUUAUAAAUUUAUUUUUAUAUACAACUAUAAAAAGAUAAAAAAUAAUAAUAUAUUUUUAGUCAUUUUAUAAUUGAAUUAGUGUUUGGUUAACUUGCGAGUUGUGACAUCAACCCAAUCAGUGUUGAUGCUUGAAUCAAACAAGAUAGAGAUAAUAAUGAUGCAAGGGGAAGAGCCAUCGCAGACGGUGAUCAAAGUUCAAGGGUAUACAAUGGUUGAGGUUCAAAGGAUGGCUGAGAGAGAGCAAUCAUGCACGAGGCUAAAGGUUUAUAUAUCCUUAGCCAUGAUCUUGAUGUGCCAUAUGUCACUUUUUCAUUGGCGAUCUUAAGGCAAGCUUGUCAAGUGACCUGCCAUUGUUGACCUAAGUAGGGUGGUUAGGGUGAGUAUUGGACAUGUUGUCAAUCACUUCAUAUAAAACACAACAGUUAGCAUCAUAAAUGGUGGUUAUUGUAUGGGUCUCAUGUGAAUUCGUACCUAAGAAGUUGUUUUAAAAAGAUUACUCUGAGUGGUAGUUUGGAGAAGUGAGUAUUUAAAGAGUAAGGGUAUAAAAGUCAAGAUGUUAAAUAAUAGUAUAAAUAAAAAUGUCGCAUAUUUUUUUAUUAAUCUAAAGAGUUAUAAUUAGAAUUAAUCAUUACAAACAUAGUUGGACUAAAAAAUGGAAUAUAUAUAGACUUAAACUAAAAUAAAUUUAGACAGGACUAAUGAGAUUCAAAAUACGAAUAAAAUUUAAAGAAAAUUUACACAUUACUUACAUAAAGUGAGAUUUGAACCUGGUCACUCAAGGUGACAUAUUCUAAGUUAAAUAAAAAUUUUGAAAUUAAAAGUAGAGAGACAAAUUUUUAAAACUGAGAAAGGACAGGGACUGGAGUCAAAAUUAAACCAUCCCAAUUUGAUUGUGGAGCAGAGGAGGUGAGUGAGUGGGGCUUAGAUUGACGAAGACAAAGCGGAAGCAUUAAAUAAUGAUGCAAACGUGAAUGGCGAAGAUCUUUUGAAGGGCGCUAAUGCUGCCAAGUAACUGGAAUAAUAAAUAAUAAUGUUUACCUGCUUUUUCAUUUUUGGAUAUUUUUAUUUUCCCGGAAAAUGACUUCCAUUUUUGUAACUUUGUUCAAUUUAAUCCUAUGAUUUUCCGUCUAGGAUAAGAAAAUAAAAUAACAAUAACAAAACAUUAUCCAAUCUGUUUCUCUUAUUUUUAUUAUUAUUUGGGGAUACAUCAAGAAAAUGAAAAUUAUGAUUUUCUUUUAGGCCAUUGGAGAGUGGGUUUUGUUUAUUUAAUAAGCCCAAGGAAAACUUUUGGGCCAGAACAACGGCCUGAGUAUAUUAAAGAAAUAGGAUAAACUACAAAAAUAGUCACUUUUGUUUCUCUUAGGUUACAUUUUAGUCACUUAUGUUUAAAAUAUUACGUUUUAGUCACUUACGUUAACGCGUUGUAACAUUUUAGUCAUUGAGCCGUAAAUUUCCAUUAACGAUGUAAUGGUAAGCUGAUGUGGCACGUUAAAUCAUCAUUUCAAACAAAAAUUUCAGGUUAAAUUAUACAAUUGAUCCCCAUAUUUUUUCGUUUUGAGCAUUUUUUUUCUUUUAUGUUCUUUCAACUUUCUCUUUUUUUUUCUUCCCCAUUUUCUAGUCUUUUAUGCUUCUCCCUCUAUUUUCCUUCUUUUUCCAUCUCUUUUAACAUAAAAGAAAAAAAUUUAAAUUGCUCAAAACGAAAAAAAAUAUGGAGACUACUUGUAUAAUUUAACCUAAAAUUUUUGUUUAAAAUGAUGAUUUAAUGUGCCACAUCAGCUUACCAUUACAUCAUUAACAACAAUUAACGGCUCAGUGACUAAAAUGUUACAACACAUUAACAUAAGUGAUUAAAACGUAACAUUUCAAACAUAAGUGACUAAAAUGUAACCUAAGGGAAACAAGAGUGACUAUUUUGGUAGUUUACUCAAAAAAAUAUAAUAGAAUUUUUUUGGUAAAAAUACCAUAGAAGCCCUUGUACUAGAAGUCGAAUUGUAUUUUGCCCCAUCUAGUAAAAAAUAGACAAAUUAGUCAUUGUACAUUAGAUCGAAGAGCAAACUGGUCUUUUUUGUUAAAAUUUUUAUCUAUUUGUAUUGUUGAAAAUGGAUAUGGUUGACAGAAUAACUAGACAGUGACACAUGGCGUGCCACUUAUACCUCAUGCUAACGUCCAAUUUAUAACAAUAGAAAUAGAUGAAAUUUUUAAUAGAAUGACCAGUUUGCUCUUUGAUCUAACAUACAUGGACUAAUUUGCCCCUUUUUUUAGUAAAUGGGGCAAAAUGCAAUCUGACUCCUAGUACAAGGGCCUCAAGGAUAUUUUUACCCCUUUUUUAUUAUAAACUUUUUAAUUAACACUAGAUUUUUUCACACCCAUUAUGUGGGUGAAAGAAAAUAUUUUAUUAAAAUUUGUUUAAUUAUGAAUAUAGAUAGAAUUAAUUUUAUACUUAAUACUAUUGAAUAAGUGUUCGAUCCUUAGAUUUGUAAUUAUUUUAUUUAAAGAUGAUAUAAAAGUAUAAAAAAUCAAAAGUGUCACUACAAUAAUAUUAAUUAUAAUUUUUUAAAGGGAUAUUUCUAUAAUUUUAUAAUUGAGUUGGUAACUCGAUUAAGAGUGAUACUGUAACACCCAUAACAUUCAUCCGUCACCGAAAUAGGGUUACGGAAUAUUACCGAACUUUACAAAUUAAAUACAGACAUUUCAUAACAUUUGUUACACAUAUUAAGAAUCAAUUAUAUAACACUCAUAUUGUCCCUUAGAUGCGCCCUCGAGGCCCAAUAUACAUCUUAGAAGUGAAUCGAGACUAAAUCGGAUACUCUGGGAAUUUUUCCCAAAAUCUCAAAAAUUUUCUUAAGAGCAGGGGACACACGCCCGUGUCUUAGGCCGUGUGGGCAAUCGAUAUGAGGCACACGGCCGUGUCCCAACCUGUGUCCUUACCUGUGUAACUUUUUGACUUGGGUCACACAGCUAACCACACGCCCAUGUGUUAGGCCGUGUGCAAGGUGUAGGGGUCACACAGCCAAGACACACACCCGUGUGCUAGGUCGUGUAACUUUUCUCUCCCUUUUUUUAUAUCAACCUAUACACAACAUUUCAGUACAUCAAAGAGCCCCAAUCAAACAAUCAACACAAGCCAAAAAUCAUGUUUUAAACAUAAUAUAUCAUCACAAAACUCAAUUGCCUAAACUUACCAAAAUAACUCCAUUCAUUGAUUUACCAAAAUUUACUACUAAAUGCAUGCAUACUAACAUAUAUAUAUAUGUGCCAUUCACAACCAUACCUCAAAUUUAGCUAUUUUCCAAUCCAACCCUAUACAUGCUAUAUAAACCAUAAAAUGUAUAACAAACUCUACCGGAGCGAACUGGAUAGUGUGACUCGAUGUAUUGAUCCGAUCCUCCGAACUUCUAGAAAAUCUGCAAAGAACAUUAAACAACACAGUAAGCUUAAUGAAGCUUAGUAAGUUCCUUGGCUUUAAAUAUAAAUCUUACCGAACAUACUAUAAUAAUUCAUUUAGGUAAAUCAUUUCACAAACGUUUCCUGCCAAUCACAACUUCGAUUGAUGAAUUCACUUAUUCAAGCUCAAUAUCAAUAAUAACUUAAAUUCUUCCACAUUAAUUCCAUAUGGCACUUACCAAUCCUUGUCAAAUCAGAUAACGUCUUACGGAUUUGUGUACAUCGUAAACAGAAGCCCGAAUGCUGCAAUGAAGCACAUAAGUGCUACACAAAAACCCGUAAGGGUUAAACGGAAGCUCAUAAGAGCUAAACGGAAACCCAUAAAGGUUAAUUUGAAGCUCAAAAGAGCUAAACUGAAACCCAUUAGGGUAAAACUAAAGCUCAAAAUAGCUGAACUGAAACCCAGAAGGGUUAAACUGAAACUCAUAUGAGUUGACUGAAGCUCACGAGAGCUAAAUGGAAAGAAAACACGGAAGUUCACAACAAAUGCUAAACCCUGGUUUACUUGGGUAAUUUGCCGGUAAUUCUUAUUUCGCACUGAACAACUGUACUUAAUCAUGCGUUCCAUUCUUUACGAACACUCAAUUUAAUUUCAUAACUUUAACAAUAAUUUUAUUUUCACAAAUGAUAUAAAUAAAUACACAUUACUAUACAUCAAUUUAAUUUAUAACAUUAAAAUUAAACCAUACGAACUUACCUGGGUUAAAUUGUAAGUUUGUAGUACUUAGAAACUGUUCUACUAAUUUCUCUUUUUCUCGUUGAUCUACGGGAUCUUGAUCUAAAAUAUAAAAUUGUUUAUUCAUUAGUAUAUUUUUCAAUUCUAAUUCACUUCACAAUUAAUACCCUUCAAUUUUUUAAAUUACACAAUUACCCUAACUUUUACACUUUUUACAAUUUAGUCCCUCACCAAUUAUCCUAUCAAUUGAUUAAAUUUUCUCAAUUGAAAAUUUAUCUAACUAUUCUAGGCUAUCUCACGGCCUUUGAUAAACUUAAUCUAAUAUCAAACCCUAAGAUUUAAUCUUUUUCACAAUUUAGUCCUACAAUCAAUUUCUAUUAAAAUUGCUUGAUAAAAUCAUCAUAUAACAAAAUUAAAGCUUCAAUUCCAUGUUAAUUCAUCAUAAACAUCUAGCACUCAUCAUUUAUAACUUUAAAAAUUACCCAUAAAAUCAAAAACUAAUGAAUUAGACAGUUGGACCUAAUUACAAAAGUCUUAAAAACACAAAAAAAAUCAAGAAAAGAGCAAGAAUUGAACUCAUAUGUAGAAAAAUAUGAAAACCAGCUUCUUAAGGGUUCUUCAAUGGUGUUUUUGGCUGAGAAUUAUGAAGAAGUGUCUAUAUAUUCAAUUAAAUCCUAUUUUUAACUUUUAACUUUUAUUUCAGUUCCAAUUUUACCCCUUGUUCACACUAAUUUCAUGAUUUUUCUACACUCAUGCCGUCAAGCCUCUUAUUUUAGGCUUAUUUACCCUUCAAGUCCUUCCUUAUUUAACAUUUAGGCUAUUUUAUCACUCUGACAAGUUUUGCACAUUUUUCAAUGUAGUCCUUUUUAAUUAAUUAACUGUCAAAACGUUAAAAUUUUCUAAUGAAACUUUAAUACUAACUUAAUGACACUCUGUAAAUAUUUAUAAAAAUAUUUAUGGCUCGGUUUAUGAAAUUAAGGUCUCGAUAUCUCGUUUUCAGAACCACUUAACCUAAUAAAUUCUUUUAAAACACAAAUCACUAAUUCAAAAAUCUUUCUAAAAUCACACUUAACUCAUGCAUAAUAAAUAAUAAAAUUUUUUAACUCACUCGUCGGAUUUAGUGAUCUCGAACCACAGUUUCCGAAACCAUUAAAAAUUAGGCUGUUAUAGAUACCAACUUAAUAAAGUGAUUAAAUAAUAUUAUAGAUAGAUAGAUAACCUUUUCUUUUAUCAAAAACUUGUAGUCAUGGUUGUUAAUAGCACCUGGCUCAAUUAUUAUCAUGUCGACUUGGUAAUUCACAUGUAAACGAUUGUUGACGUGACAUUACCAUGUUUGAAAAAAAUAUUCUAAUAAGUUUUAAAGAAUGUAAAACUAUAAAAAUUCAAUUAUAAAAAUUCAAAAAGUAGCAAAAUAUUAAAAUUCUCAAAAGAAAUUCAAAAAAUAUAAAAAGUGUUUUAAAAUAUUUAUUAAAAAAAACCUAAAUUAGUUCAUAUGACUAACCUUUUUCUAGUUUUCCUGUGGCCAUGCCAAUGAUAUUAGUGGCAUUAUUCAAUUUGACUGAGAAAACAAGGCAUGGGUUGGUGCUAAGUAUGUUUCCACUGUCUGCCUUUUAACUUGUUUCCACCAAUUAUCCCAUUUGAUCGAGGAAGAGCCAAUGCUAUUGCUUGCUCUUUGUCUUCGUCCCUCGAUUUGUUCAAUUAAUUGUGCAAUCUCUAUUUUGAUUGUAACUGAAAAUUGAGAUAAGUUUAAAGAAAGUAGAUUUAGCUUAUUGUUGGUGCAUAUAUGCUAGUAAUGUUUAUACCUUGGGAAGUUCGAGUGGCAUACUUUUUUUUAGGAAGUCAGUUUUUUCAAGAAUUUUUUUUUUAAGUAUUAUCUGUUGAGCAGUUGACAUAACCCUCAACAAUAGUAGGUAUUGUCUCGUAUUGAAGUUUUGUCUCUUUCUUCCAUCGAGAGUUAGUUUUCGGAGAAGAAACACCUCAAUUGAUGAAGAUAUAACCAAUAAAGCUUCCAAGAAAAAUGUCAUUAUAGUGCGUAACAUUAAAUCACUUGCGUACAAAAGGAACUCGAACCACCAAUCUAAACAUAGAAGUUACCUAAACACAAGGAAACAUCAAACAAUGCUUUUGAUAGUUGAUGCUAAUAAUCCAAAUUUUGCAUUUUUUUUAUUAGUAUCAUUUAUCCUUGACUAUCUAAUUGUAGUAUGUUUUGCAAAUGUUUCCUUUGUUGGCUCAUUCUGUUAGUUUGGUUUUUUGGGAUGUCUUUAAAAUUUGCAUGUAUUUUUGGUACUGAGAUUUUUGCUAUUGCCUCCUUUUUAUAGUUAGUUUAGAUUCUAGUAUUGCUUAAGACCUUUGAAAAAUAGAGUAAAGUAACUCUAAAUAUUAGAAUUAUCAUUAAGGUUGGUUUAAAAUCAUCACUUUUAAUGUAAAAUAACUAACAGUAUUGUUAAUUUAAAUAUACAUUUAAUAUUAUUAAAAAUAUUAAAUUCUAAUUGGCAUUGUAUAGGGAGUGGAACCAUAAUUAGAUCUAGACCAUAAAUAUUUUGGUGUUGGUAGGCCCAUCAACACAACUGAUCACCAACAAUAGAUUAAUUCAUGAAACCUAUAAGAUCAUCCAAAUCCAUCUAUAUAAACAAUCUCUUUUGAGAUUGAUCAACAAUGAACCUCAACAUAAAACCUAUUAGUCAAGGGUGUUUAUUCCUUCCCCAAGUUUUUGGAAUGAUGUGUAAGUUUAACAUGUAUGAUAGUGUAAUUGUGUAGGCAUAUGGGUGUGUGAGUUGUACUUGAAUGAUAUUAAGAGAGAUUUGUCAACAAUGAGCAUGUAUCCCAGGUAAAAGAUCUUUGGAGGUCUUAUAUUAGGAGUCAAAUUGCAUUUUAUGCUUAUUACUCAAAAAAUAGAUAAAUUAGUCAAUAUACGUUAAAUCAAAUGAUAAAUUGUUCCGUUCUAUUAAAAAUUAGCAUGAUUGACGGAAUAACAAAAAAGUUACGCCACAUAUACUUAUACUGAUGUACAAGGACCAGUUUUUACAAUAGGACUGGAUGAAUUUUUUUAUAGAACAACCAAUUUGCUCUUUGAUCUAACGCACAUGUACUAAUUUAUCUAUUUUUUUAGUAGAGAGAACAAAUUAAAAUCCGGCGCCUGAUAUAAACAACUUUAUAAUACUUUUACCUAUACCCCUUUGCUCUACUCCAUUUCUUUCAUUUCUUGUAUUAACCUUACACGUAAGAAGCUUCAUGAAGAUCCAAAUCCUACACCAUCUAAUAUUAUUUUUCCCUCCAUGGGACCACUCUCGUUAGUGUAAUUGUCCAACACUACAUAAUCAUGUAAAUUGAAAACAGAUAUAAAUCACAUCAACACUACAUCUAUGUAAAAAUUACUGCCUAACACUACAUGAUCUUUUUAAGAUAUUAUUUUCUAUUUGUAGAUAACGUUCACAGCCUCACUCACUGAAAUUUGCUCUCCACGUCUAAGUAGGGAAGGGUGGGGGAGCUAAGUGGUAUCAUAAAUCAUCAAAAGAUAGCCAAAUUUGGAUGAAAAUAUCUUGCAAGUGUUUUCAGCCUUCUAAAUCGUUAGCAGAUCCAACCAAAUAUAUGUAUGUAAAAUAUUAUGGGACUGUUUUAGUGAUGGGUCAAUUCCUUCACUGCACCAUUCACUAUUGAGAAUUGACAUUAUUGUAUAUAAAUAAAUUAAAUAUAGUUGAAAGUUGGGCCAAAAGGGAUACUCAAGUUUCAGCGUUGAAGUAAUGGGAAAUUGGGUCCAAUUUUAUGAGGCAACUUGGAUUGGGGAAAUGGAGGGGUGUCGCAUCGCAUUGCAUGUGAGGUGGUCCGACCAUAGGGUGGCCGAAUUUUUCGAAUCUGCAAGGUUUCACUCAUUUCAAAUUUGAAUAAUGUAAUUAUUGGUAAAAAUAUCAUAGAGUCUUUUAUAAUAAGAGUAGAAUUGAAUUUUAUUUUACUUUACUUUAAAAUUAGGUAAAUUAGUCCAUUUGCAUUAGAUCAAAUAGCAGAUUAGGCACUCUGUUAAAAAUUUCAUUAAUUUUUACUGUUAAAAACUAGCCCUUAUAUGUUAGUAUGAGGUACAUGUUGCACGCUAAGUGUCACUGUCUAAUUAUUCCAUUAGCCACGCUAGUUUUUAAUAGUAUAAAUGGAUGAAAUUUAUAAUAGAAAUGAUCAAUUUAUUCUUUGAUCUAAUGCAAAAUGACUAAUUUGUUCAUUUUUUGUAGAGGAGCAAAUGCAAUUUGACUUCUGAUACAGAGCCUCCAUGAUACUUUUACCCAUAUGUGUUCUAUAGGUCAAAGACGUUCAUCUCACAACCCACAUUAUGGGUUCAAGUCGUAGGAAUUACCAGGGACAACGUCAAGGAGCUAGCAAAGGCCUCAACCUCCAAAAUAAAAUAAAAUAAUUAAUUUUACUAAUUCUCAUAAAAAUAUACAAUUAAAAUCCAACCCAUCAAAAAAAAAUUUUACUUCACCUUAAAGAUUAUCGGCUUGUGGCAUGUGCAUAGCAAUGAUUUAUUCUGAGUUAUAAAAGAAAAAACUUUUUUUUAAAAUUUUAAUAUUUAGAAAAGGGUUUUCGCACACUAAAUUCUGAUUUAUAGUAUUAAAAAAAAGAAAAGAAAAGAGAAGAUUAAUGAAAGGACACUGGAAAAGAAAAAUAAUCUUAACCAUCUUUGCCAAUAAGUGAAAAGGGGAACGAAAUAAUUGAUUACAAUGAUUUUGUAAUAAGAUGAUUGUUUUUUUUUAUAAAAUAAUUAUGUAAAAAUAAGGACGGAAAAUUUUAAAAAAUCAAUUUAAUUUUUUUUCUUAACAUUAGUAUGUUUUUUUUAAAGAAAACAUUAUUAUUGAUAAGAAUCAUAAACAAUAAUAAUACAAAGAUAUAACAUAUCGUACAAACAAUAAAUAAAUCCCUACAAGUUAAAACAGAAAUGUCAUAUCUGCAAAAUAAUUUUAAAAAGAGAAGGACAAAUUAAAAGUAAUCGCAAUACUGAAAUAAUUCAGAAACAAAUUAGAGAUGGAUAAACUUAUUCAAAUUACUGAAUUUUACAUCCUAGUCUCGCCAUCAUCAAAUUAACCUGACGAUAAAUACCAUCAAUCAAGAAAAAUUGUCAAAAAUCUUUAAAAACCCGUUGCAUUAGUGAUACACAAAAAGCUAAAUCUCAUAUGAAUUAUCUUCCUCCUCAUUAUCUUAAAUCUAUCACUAUUAUUAUAAUCUAUCGUGAUAAAACCCUUGAAAAAUUAUUCUUAAUAUAUCUGACUACCCUUUUAUUCCACCCUACUGCCAUCCCUGUCAUACCAUUUUAGGCAAACAUUCCCGCACGAGUUGAGCCAAUUGAAGGUGAAGUUUACAAGUUGAGCUUAUAGAUUUGGUGUGCUCCAUUGAAAAUGGGGGCUCUUUAUCCUAAUAUUAAACAUGAAUUUUCGUGGGUGAAUGGCCCAGCAAAUCGGAAAAUAUUCUAGUUGUGGAACCACCUAUGUACCCUAGAUUCUAGACAUGUUGAAAUUUAGUUAGGUCCUUGCCCAAUUACUUCCACUACUAAAGGGUUUUUCCAAUCUCUACUUCAAUCUAUAUACCUGUAAUUAUGCCUUUUCUUCCGCCCUCAACAAUCAUAAUUCAUCACUGGAUAACUAAUUACUUUUCGAUUGAAUGAUAAAAAGUUUGAUAUUUUUUAUAAGAGAUUUCAAGGUCGAGUCAAAUAAAUGAAGAAAAUAAUUUUGGAGGAGUCUUGCUCUCCGUUUAAGAGUUUAACUUAAUUUGAUUUUAAAUUUAAUUUGGGUCCAUUGUAAUUAUCGAAUAUCAAUAAAUUUAUAUUAAAAAAGUGAACGAAUCUAAUAAAAAUUGGCACAUUUCACAAUCAUAACUAAAAUUUUGAUAACUUCAAUCUGAAUUUGGCAAAUCCAUAAAGAAAAUGAUAAUUUCAAAUUUUAAAAAAAAAUAGAUAUCCAAAUCUGCAAAAAAUUUUAAUUCAAAUAUGCUAAACUUCUUUUCAUAUAUAUAAAUUCAAAACAAUAACCAUUUUUAUAACCAGUAGAUUCAGAUAUUAGGAAUAUCUAUUUACACCCAUAGUGGAUAAUAAUUUUAAAAUCUAAAUUCGAAUAUUAUCUUAAUCCACAAUCCGAAUUAAUAUCCCUAAAACAUUUAUGCAUACAUGAAAUAAAAAAUAUAAUUAAAUAAAUUUAUUAGCAAAUGACAUCGUGCGAUUUACUUAUACCGUAGAACUUUUAAUGAGGUUAAAGUAUUUGAAAAGGUCUUGUACUAUAGAGAUCAGAUCAAAUUGGUUCAUCUAUUAUUAAAUGGGUCAAUUUAGUCUCUAUACUAUUAAAAGAAUUAAAUAAGUCUAAAUUGUAAUAGAGUUGACAUUAACCAAAUAAAAAAAUUUUUGAAAAUUUUUUUUUCAAUUACAGUCCAAUUCCAAACAAAAUAUUUCAUUUACUGAACAAAAUUUAUAUUAAAAGUAUUAACUUUGUUAAAUAGCAAAUGAAUUUUUUUAUACAGUAAAUAUUAAGUCUAUUCUAAUUUGGCUUUAUUUGAUUCUUUUAAAUCGUAAAAUGACUAAAUUAAUCUAUUUAAUAAUAACGAGACUAAUUUAAUUUGAUCCUAUAAUAAAACUACAUCUAAAACUCCAUUCACCCUUUUAAUGACAAUUAUGUUUUUUUCCAGGUUUAAAGAAAACACUAUUAAAUUGACACUUUUGGUUUAAAACUUGGAUUUUUUACAAAACAGUGAUGUGUUUAGACAAUAAUUGAUGAAAUAUAUGGUUUGAAACUAAUUAAUAAUAAUACAAUAUUAAAAUGAAAAAAUAAAUAAUUUGUGAGUAAAAGCGAAAUUUAAAUACAUCAAAUUAAAAAUAUUAAAUGUACUAUAAGUGUUUAUUAUGGUGUUAUCGUCAAUCUUGAGUUGAUAUCGAGUUAACUUAUUAAACAAACUUGAUCAAUAAUAUUAUUAAUAUAUAAUAGAAAUUCUUUCACACGCAUAUGCGUGUGAAAAUCACGUAUUUAGAACAUAGAUACAUGAUUAAAAAUAAUAUACAUUAAAUAAUGAAAUGUAUAGUUUGAAACUAAUUAAUAAUGACACAUGAAAUAUGUACAAUAUUUAAAUAAAAAAUUUUAAAUUAUAAGUAAAAUGAAAUUUAAACACAUGAUACAGCAGAUUAAGAAUACUAAAUUAGUACAAUUGUUUAACAUGGUGUUGUUAUCAAUCCUAAGUUGGUGUCGAGUUAAUUUAUGACACCAACUCAAUCAACAAUAUUAUUAAAUCUAAAUUUAAUUAUGUAAAGAUAUUUCCAUAAUUUCUCUAAUCGUGUUGGUGUCCGGUUGACUCAUGACACUAACUCAGUCAAAUGUUUAAAUAGAAGUAUAGAUAUAUAAUUGAUGGAAGUAAUAAAAUGUACAUAUUAAAAUAAAUUGUAUAAAAAAAUUAAAGUAAAACUUCAAUUGACCGGUAAAUUUAAGUUUUUACUAACUUAAUUGGCAAGGAUUCAAAAAUUACGUUAGGCAUAUUUUUAUUGAUUUUUUAAAAAUGAAAAUGACUAAAAUACCCUCGAUAAUAUAACCAUAUUUUAAUGACGAAAGGAUAAUUUCGAAAUUUCUCUAAUUGAGUUGGUGCUCGGUUGACUUGUGAUAUUAACUUAGUCGAGUGCUUAAAUAAUAGUAUAGAUAAUUGACGAAGGUGAUAAAAUGUGCAUAAUAAAAUUAAAAUGUACAAAACAUUUUAGAAUAAAGCUUUGGUUGAAUGGUAAAGUUAAAAUUUUAUCGGUACAAAUGUUAUGAGUUCAAAUUCUAUUAUAUGCAAAAUUUUUAUUGAUUAAAAAAAGCUAAAGUAGACUGGAAUAAUAUAACUUUUAUAAAUACAUAUGGUUUUUUUUUUUGUAAUUUAUCUAACUGAAUUGGUGUCUGAUUUAUUCAUAACUCCAACUCAAUCAAAAAUUUAAAUAAUUAUUUAAAAAAUAUAAAAAUAGUUUAAAUUAAUCUAACUGAAUUAUUUUUAAUCUAAUCCGAUCAAACCCAACCAAUCAUAACAUAUAAUUUAAACUAAAUUCAAAUAAUUUUGACUCAACUUCAUAAUCAAGAAUUAUCUCGUUUCUUUAAUAAAACUUAGGGUGAGUUUGGAUGGGCGGUGCGUUUACCUGCGGUUAGUGUAAAAACAAUGGUGGCGGUGAGACUAGAUACUAUAGCGAUCCUGUAACGUGAGAUAAAAAGUAAACUAAACGCACCACACCGCACCCAAUUGUCCAUCCAAACCAUCCUUACUCUCUGCAUAUCUACGCACCUCCCACCCUCAAUACCUCUCGCAUUUAGGCACCCCACGCUAUUGGGGAUGCAUUAUGGAAGGAGCAUUGUGCCGCCAAUGAUUGCCAUCAUAUCAGAUCUGAUCUUAUCAAUGUUUUCGAUUUCUCAAAUUUACCAACUUCAGAGGUGACCACAUUUGACACAUACCUUAAUCCUAAUUUUGACUCCACUAGAGAGGUAACAAAAAAAACCUCAAUUCAAGCCUUCCUCCAUCUACGAAUACUCUUUCUUCCAGAAGGAGAUGAAGGGGUCAGAAAAUAUAGUGACCAUUACACUUGUUCAUGAGUCAAGUAGUUGACUUUGGCUCGGCUUGAUUUUUGGGUUGGGUUUGAUUUUUAAAUUUAAACUUAAUUAUAAAUAUAUAUAUAUAUUUAAUAUUGUAUUAAUUUUAAAUAGUAAAACGAGCUUUUUAGAUGAGACGGGAUAACCCAAAAAUGAAUCAAGACUAGAAUUUAUUUUAGAACCAAGCUUUGGGAUGUCUCUCGUAUGCAUACACUGAAGUAUGAUCUCAACUCUCUUGAGUCUUAAGCAACCACUUUUAGCGACUUUUCGUGUUCCUUACGGUGUAAAUCUCCAUUAUUGUAUUACUCGAAAUUCUAUAUAAUUUUUAUGAUACAAUACAACACAUAAUAAAAUAAUCUCGUAGUUUAUUAAUUUUUAUUUAAAAUUAAAUUAAUUAAUGAAACAUAACAAAUAAAAAAACAAGUACGUCAAUAGACCGAUAUGAAGUCGAUGGGUCGAUUAAUCAAUUAAAAUUGAAAGUGGUUAAGUAAGUGAUUUAAGUCAUUGAAAACCCUAAUAAAAAUUUAGUGCAGGUGCAAUUACAACCCAUUGGCAAUAAUCGAGUCUAAGCAAAGUGUUUGGUAAAAGUAUUAGUGGAUUGGAUGUCAAAUUUUUUUAUUGAAAAAAUAAGUAAAUUAGUUUUUAUACAUUUUGAAACUUGUAAGUUAGUCAUUCUAUUAAUUUUUAUGUUAAAUGAUGAUGUGGACAUGCUGGAAAUUAUUUUUAUGGGUAAACUAUAAAAAUGGUCACCUAACUAUACAUUUUGUCCUAUUUUGGUCACCUAAUUAUUUUUUUCGAAUUAGUCACUAAACUUUACGAAAAUAUUUUAGUUACUCUGAGCUUUUGUCGACUUUUUUUUUUGUUUGUUUAGUAACAAAAUUAGCCCUCUAAUAUUUACAUAUUCUAUCAAUUUAAUCCUAAAUAUAAAAAAAUAAAUAAAUUUAGCCCUCAAUAUUUACAAAAUUUGUCAAUUUAGUCCUAACUCUAAAAUUUUAAAAAUUAAUAGUUGAGUGACCAAAAUAGAACAAAAUGCAUAGUUAUAGCUUACCCAUAAAAAAUAAUUUCCAGCAUGUCCAUGUCAAUAUUUAACAGAAAAAAUUUAGCGAAUGGGCUAAUUUACAUGUUUCGAAAUGUAUAAUGACUAAUUUGAGCAUUUUCCAAUAGAGAGCUGAAAUGCAAUCCACCUCUAAGUAUGGGGCUUCCCUGGUACUUUUACCUUUGCCCAUUGUAUAUAUUUCAUCUAAUUAUAAUACUAAUUUUGUUAUGUUUAUGUGCAAGUUGUGGCAUAGAAAAAUCGAACCUAGGGGCCUGCCUUUGUUUUAUGUUUUAAAAAUGUCUAUAAUUGCUGCUACGUUUCUGCAGAUUCUGUGGAUGGUUUGCUCACGUGAAAUUGAAAGGUAAAAUUAUGCUAUUAGUCUUUACAUAUUAUAAAACUUGUAGAUCUAGUCCUUCAUACUUCAAUUCGAUCAAUUUUAUUUCAUGUACUUAUUGAUUCAAUUAAUUUUAAUCAUUGUACUUUUUAAAUUUUAAAAUUUUAGCCUUGACAAAAUAGUAGCAGUUAAAUCUAUUCAGUUAAAUUUUAGAACUAGUCUUAUACCAUGCAUAAAUUUUAAUCAUUCUAUUUAUCGAAUUUCAAAAUUUCAAUUUUAAUACAAAUAAUAGUUGUUAAAUCCAUUAACCGGUUUUUUGUGAAUAAUACAUGUCUGGAUGAUAUUACACAUACGAUAAUAAAUUUAUAUCAUAAAAAAUAAUAAAACUUAACUUAAUAAAUUUAAUAGAUAUCACAACUUACCAAACUAAUAUCAAAUUUUAAUCAAACUAAAAUGUGGUCUAAAAACCACAAAGUCCCUCAGAUUUUUAUUUUUCUCAGACUCCAAAAAAUAAAAAAAAAUGGAAAAUCAUGAAAGAAAAAGAAGAGAUAUCACGUGUCAAGAUCAUAUCAUUUUCGUGAAAGGGAUGAAAAUUUAGAUCCCCUAAUAAAAUAAAAAUGUGGAAGUCAAAAGUUGUUAUCUCCUCCCAUUACACCACAAGCAAAAAGUACCUUAUCUUUUCCUCCUCUAAACUACUUUGGUAAAAAAAAACACUAGGAUUAUUGGGGUUAAAAUUGGAGAAAAUGUUGAUUUUAAAAAAUAUUUAGGGAAAUGUACCACCUUUUCGAUAGGAAAAUAGGUCGAUUAUGAAGAAAGAAAUAAAAAACGCAUUGAAUCGAACCUGCGACUAAAGGAUAUAAAAUCACUAUUAUUUAACUUAAGACUCAAUGACAAAACCACUAGCAUUUAACUAUCUAACUAAAUAAACUAAUGUAUCCAAAAAGUUAGAAAGCGUGCCCUAUAAGACGCGUUUUCUAUUUCUCUCUCCAAAAUUGAUCUAUUUUCUUAAAUAUUUUUUAAAACCGACAUUUCCUCAAAUUUUGACUGGUUAUAGGGAUGGUAAAAAGAAUUCUCAAAAUUAUCGGAUUUGAUCUAAUUUAAAUUUAUAGGAUGAUUUUUUCGUUUUGAAAAUCGAAUUUUAAAAUGGAUGGGGGUUUUAUUUCUAUAUUAGUAUUUCAAAGUCAGAUUAAGAUCCAAUUUAAGUAAAAUUUUCAUAUCAUUUCUAUUGAUGUGUUUACUAAAAUGUUCUUUUUCAAUUUUAUUAAUUAUUUUAUUUUAUUUUAUUUUAAUAUAUAAUUUUAUAAUAACUAUAUUUUUAUUUCUUAAAAAUUUUCAUGUAUUUUUAUAAUAUAUUGUUUUUAUAAAAUUUUAUAAUAUAUAUUUGAUUUAAUAUAAUAAAAGUUAAUAUAUAUAAAAUAAUAUAAAAUUUUGAGACAAAUUGAAAUAUCAUAAAAAUCAGAUGAAAUUAAUAUAUAUAUAAAAGCUGCAUGGCUUAGACUAGGAUUAUUACAAAAAUGCUACUGUAUAUUAUAUAUUAUUUAGGUUUAAUUUAAUUUUCAUCCUUCUCUUUAUAAAGUUGAGAAAUUAGUCCUUUUAUUUUAAUUUUUUAGAAUUUGAUUCUUAUAUUUUAAGAAAAGUGACAAGUUAGUCCAAUUGAGUAAUAUUGUUAAACAUUACCACUAAGCUAUUGAUCUCGAAAUCAGCAAUUUAACAAAUAUAUAUAUAUGUUUGGAAUUAACGAUAAGCAUCCUUAAGGGGAAAAAACAAUUUACAUGCAAAAAAUUAAAAUAAAAAAUCAUUAGUUUAUGUAAAAUGGAGAGACUUUUGACACAUUAAAGUAGAGGACUAUUUUUUAAUUUUUGUAAAGUAAAGGAUGAAAUUUAGAAUUAAACCAUUAUUUUACCAAAGGUUUUUCUAUGGUUUCUUGCCGCCUCGCUUAGUCUCUUCUCUUGCCCAUAUUUUGCAAAUCUGUAGGCAAGUUUUACACAUUAUUAUUAUUAUUUAUUUUCCCAAACCUUUUAUAUAUUUAAUUUAUUUUCUUUUUACAAUUCUCCUUGCGGCCUCUCCAUUCCUAAGGAUUUGUGGAGUUAUUUCGGUUCAUUCUCUGCGAAGGUAUUAAAUCAUUCUUUUUUCUUUAAAAAAAAACCAUUUAUGCUUGUUUUGUAUGAAUCUCUUUUGUAUUUUUUAUCUGUUUAUUUUCAGAAUCGGGUUUGGGUCUUGAAUUGUUCUAAAAUUAAGAUGGAAUUGUUUAUCAUGUUAUACAUCCAAUAUAUGGGUCAAGUUAGUGGCGGAUCCAGAAAUAUUAUUUACGAGACAGAACGAAGUUAGAAAAUUUUUGGGGCGAAACUAAAUUUUAUAUUUUAUAAUAAUAAUAAUAUAAUUUUAUCAUUUUAAUGGUUUAUAUCUUUAUAAUUUUUAGAAGAUUAAAUAAAAUGUUUAUCAUUUUUGAAGGCUAAAGUCUAAUUUAUUAUUAUUAAUUUAAAAUUUUAUAAAGUAUAAAAAACUUAAAUGAAAAAAAAAAUCAGGGAACCGGGAUUCCUAACAACCCUCUUAGAUGCACUCCUGUCUCAAGUCAAACCGAGACCGGAAAAAAACUCGAGCCAUCCUUCCCUGUUGCCAUCAUAGUUGAGAAAAAAAGAGAGUAAUGGAUUGGGAUGCUUACUAUUUGGCUUGUGAUUAUUUAUGUAUGUAUGUAUGUGUAUGCAGAUGCAUUCAGAAGGGCUUGGCCAACCUAAAAUGGGAUAAUUAUAUGUUUUAAUCACUUCAAAAAUUAUAAAUUUAUAAAAUAAUAUAUAAUGAAAUUAUCGUUUAACCCUUAAAAAUAAUAAAAUUUUGAUUAAUCCUUAUAAUAAUUAUAAAAAUAUAUGAGAAAAUUAUAAUUUAACUUUCAUAAAAAUAUAUAACCUAAUAUCGUCUCAGAAAAUUUUUAAUUUCUUCUUGUAUGUGUGCAUAUAUAUCUAUCUAUAUGUACGUACGUACGUAUCUCCAUGUGGCCUUGUUGGCUUGGUCUGUUAAAGAUACGACCGACUCAAUUGCCUGCACCUUUACCAACUUUGCCUGAGCAUCACCCAAACCCCAUACCUCUCUCUUAGUUGAUAUUUUACAUCCAUGAAAUUCAAACCCCUAAAAAUAUCUUUCGUUUCACCAAAUAUCUUCUUUCUUUUGCUAGCUUUUGCAAUGAGACCCUAAGGCCUGUUGGUCCCAUGGGGCAACCCAUGCCUAAUUUAGUCAUAUAAUUCGAUAUUUCAGUUUCUUAACUCUUUUUUAAAAAAAGUCGAAGCCAGCAAUCCAUCAGGGAGAUAAAAUAAAAUUUUAAAAGUUUGAGGGGCCAAAAACUAAAAAAAUUAUUUAAAAGGAACUUAAUUUAAAUACCUCAUAAAUAAAAGGGACUAAAAUAAAUAUUAUACCUCGUAGCUAAAAGGAGACAAGUCCACUAAUUGCCCGUUCUAACUACGCCCAUAAUAUGCUAAAAAAAUUUGGUUAUUUUUCAGAUGAAAACAUGAAAAAUCAACAUUUUCUAAUGUUCAAGGUCCCCGAAGCUUAAAUUUUAAAUGUACAAAAAUUAAAUUACUUGUUUUUUUAUAGUAGAGUGAUUGAUUUACACUUCAUCCUAUAGUAUAAGGACUUCUCAGGUAAUAUAACCCAUGUUGAGGUUCACUGCUCGAGCUUAGCAUUAAAAAAGAAUUGACAUAAUCAUGAAGUUUCUUCAACGUUUAAUUACAUCUUAUCCAUUAAUAUGGAUAACCAAAUAACAAAGUUAGUGGCUUGGAACUUUUUUUUUUUUUAGUUUCAUGCAUUUUAAAGGCAUGAAAGACAAGACAAUGAAACAUAUCAUGAGUGUAAAAUAUUGAUGUACAAUGAGUUUUUAUGUUUUUAAUUUGGUUAAAUUUUGCUAUUAGUCCCUGUACCAUGCACAAGUUAUGGAUUUAGUCCAUGUACUUUAUUUUGGUCAAUUUCGGUAACAGGUACUUUUAGAAUUUGAAGGUUUUAGUCAUGGCCAAAAGAUAGCUAUUAAGUUAUACUAUUUUCAAAUUUUGACGUGGCAGACAUUUUAUCACGUAUGUAAUUCUAUAUAAGUUUAUUAUUUUCACAUAUUAUUCACAUAAAUACAAAAAAAGAGAGCCCGAUUAAUAGAUUUAACAAUUGUCUUUUACAUUAAUACUAAAUUUUAAAAUUUUUAAAGCAUAUAGUAACUAAGAAUGAUCCAACUAGAGAACAUGGAUUAAAUUUAAAACUUUACACAUAUAAUACAAAAUUAAUAGCAGCCUUUUACCAAGUAAAUUUAACCGUUAUCGUUUAGUGAUGACUAAAAUUUCAAAAUUAAAAAAUUACAGAUGUUAAAUUUGACAAAUUCAAAAACCCUUGUUGUGGUGGCCUAUUGGUCAGAUGUUCAUCUUUCCAUGAAUAGCCUGGGUUCGAAUCAUCAUUGUACCAAAAAAUAAAAUUAAUCAAAUUAAAGUUUAAGUACUAAAUCCAUAACUUAGGGGACUAACAGAAGAAAUUGACCUUUUUAGUUUAAGUUAAAAAGGGCGGUGGUGGGAUUCAGGCGUGGUAGUGCUUCUAUCUUUGUGGGCAAAAAAAUUCGAUCCAUUACAUACAUGUGCACCCAUAUAAAAAGUAAAAUACCAUCACAACAAGUGGCCUUUAAAUGUCAAAAUCCAACCCCCCAUUAUAAAUACCACCCCCCCACUUACACCCCCCCAAUCAACAAUUCACUUCAUAUAUAUCAUCCCAUUAAAAUGGAGAAAAAAUUGCAACUUAAGUCCUUUCAUUUCACCCUCUUCUUCCUUUUCUUCUUAUUGUUUGCAUUUAAUAUUGUGGGUGCUUUUGGUACUAGGAAAACACUAUCCAUGGAAGGCUCUAAUGCACCAAACGGUGGUUCCAAUGGUGCUACUGGUUCAGCCCAUGGUCCUAACUGGGACUACAGUUGGGGAUGGGGUUCAAGCCCUGGUAGUGGAUGGGGUUAUGGUUCUGGUUCAGGGAGGUCACCUAAUGGGUUCGGGAGGGGUUACGGGUUCGGGUUUGGGUCUGGUACUGGUUCAGGUUCUGGUUCUGGUUAUGGUUAUGGGAGUGGUGGUGCUCAUGGUGGUGGAUAUGGUGGUGGAAGUGGAACCGGUGGUGGUGGUGGUUCUGGUGGUGGAAGUGGUGGUGGUGGUUCGACUGAAAAUGGAAAUGGUAACCGUUGGCCAUCAAGGAACCCGAACCCUAAUCACCAUGGUUAAAAACAAGGAGGUUUUGAGGUUUGCUUUGUCAGGUGACAAUGGUUAGUGUGUAAUAUAAAAUACAUGGUGUGUAAUAUAUAUUAUAUAUUUUGAAUCUAUGUUAGUUUUCUAAGUUAAAAAAAAAAAAAACUAUGUACCUUUUAUGUGCUUGAUUAUAUAAUUUGAGCUUUUAAGGCCAUGUUUAUUUCCAUUUCAUGCUAUAAUUUUUUUUUUAUAUUUUAAGUUUUCAUGUUCGAAGUUGGAGCGUAAUGUGUUUUAUCUAGUUAACAUUUUUUUUUCUCAUAUAUCUUUUUAACAAAACAUAAAUCGUUUUAGAAUUCAACUUGAGAUUGAUAUCAAUGGUAGAACUGAGAUAGUAAAAUCUUUAUCAUCUUACUCAUGAUUUAAUUGAGAAAAUUAAUUCUGACGGUGUAUAAUCAAUUAAUUCUGACGGUGUAUAAUGUGAUAAAGAAAAUAAUUAUUUUUAGACAUAAAAUUUUGAGGUAUCAAAGUGAACCAUAUUUUCCUAUUUUAGAAUAUACAACAUUAAAGUCGAAUAGAAUAAUAUUAUAUGGUUUUUUUCUAUUAUUCAAUUGAUAAUACUAUGGUUUUUAAAUGCAAAUAUUGUUGUAUUUUGCAUGGUUGACACUAGAGUUAAAAUUUGGUGACUCUUUUUAGAAUAAACAAGGCAAAAUAUAUUAACCGAAAUGUAAAGAGAUGACAUUUUGAUAAAUUUGAGAUUGAAACCUCGAUAUCUUUCUUACCAAUAUAAAACAUGGGUGUUCAUUAAAUCCGAAAAAUAGAUUGAAGGAGCUGAUGGAAAGUAGUGAGAGUUUUUUUUUUCUUUGUUGUCUUUUGAGAGUAUGUAUGGGGUCUUUCUUUGGAGCCCAUGUAAUGAUGUUAUGGUGACUAUAGGGUAUGUAAGAUAUUAAGUAUAACAAGCAUGAUGAUGGGUGGGUCUAUCAUCAUUUAAAACAAUAGUGGAUUUUUAAGACAUUUUUAAUGUUUAAACAAUCUUUUGUAAUUUUUUUUUAUUUGAAAUCAGUAUGGUAUCCAACAAUCACAUUGAGUCUUUAUUAGAUUUUGAGUCUGAGUUGUGUUUGAUCCUUUAAAAGUGGAUACUAACAAUAAUCUUUCCAUAAAAGAAAAUGGGUUGAAGGAGUCGAUGGAAAAAUGACUAUAGAAUAUUUAAGUUAUUAAUAUAUAACAAACAUCAAGUUACUUGUAAGGGGUGGAUUCAUCGUCAUUGAAAUAAUAGUGGAUUUUCAAGGCUCUCUCGAUGUUUAAAUAAUCUUUGGUGACUUUCUUUUUUUUUUUUAAAUUUGUUUGGUAUCUAGUAGUUACAUUGGGUUUUGACUAAAUUUAGAGUCGAGUUGUGUCUAGUCUCUAAAAGUAGGUAUCAACAACGGUUUCUCCAUAAAAUAAAUUAUUUGAAGGAGCCCGUGGAAAAGUGACUGUAAUUUAUGUGAGAUAAUAAUGUAUAACAAACAUGGUGAUGAGUGAAUUUAUCAUUAUUGAACAAUAGUGGAUUUUCAAUGCUCUUUCAAUGUUUAAACAACCUUCUGAAUUUUUAUUUUUUAUUUUUGUAUGAAAUCUGUUUGGUAUUUAGUAAUCACAUUAGACUUUCAUUAAAUUUAGAGUCGAGUUUAGUUUGAUUUUUAAAAUUAACAAGUUUAAACACUAAUUUCCCCAUCCAAAGACUAAAAAAUCAAACUUAAUAAUUUACUUAAAUAACAUCAAACUUCUUAUUACUCAACCCCAUUCCAAAGUUUCACUUUUAACUGAAGACUAAACUAAUUGAAGAAGGCUCAUCUCUUCUUUGCUAAUUCCUCCCACUUUGGCAUGGUAGGCAUUAUUGUAAUACCUAAAACCCCAAACUUAAAGGGUUUAAUUGUAUAAGAUAUUUGCUUAUGACUUAUGAGUAAAGUUAGAAAGUUAGUCAAAAAGUGGGAGCAAACUGCUAUGAUUGCUUAUAUAUAAUCAGGAGUUUUGAGCUAAAUAUUAAACAUUUAAACACGGCUAAUGGAUACUAAUUUUGCAUUUUUAAUAGAAUGGAUUGUUCUAAUUGAGCUGUCAUUUGCUCUCAUAAUGACGUCAUUGGAAUUUACUGCGUUCCUUGAUUCGAAGAGACAUAUGGGCAUGGGUACAGCUAUCAAUUAAGUGGGUUGGGCUUAUUUUGGUGGAUGUGAAGAUGACCUUAAUCUAUUUUUAAGGUUUGAAUUAUUUAAGUUUGAAAUUUAAAAUUUCUGGGUCGAAUCAUUUUAAGUUUUGAUGGUUUUAAGUUUGUGCCAUUUUAGGUUAUUUGUUUGAUUUCUUUUUUUUUCUUAAGAAUACAUAUAAGAUUCGUCACUACAAACAGGAUAAUGGUAACCUCACAAUUAAUUACUUUAUUUAUGAAUUUCAUAGUAAUAGAAAUACAUGUCCUAUAGAAACAGAACUUGUAACUUGCUAUCCUCUUGCCUAGCAGGCAAGGAUUUACUUCUGUGGAUAAGAUGAUUCAUUUGAAUAUGCAACUGACUAAUCAGUCUAAGCGGGAGGCAAUAUACUUUGAUAUUAUUGAUUAUUCUUUGAUUUAAUGAAUCAUCCCAUUUUAAUUGAAAACGCAAAUACCCUUUUUAGGAAAAAAUCAAGUUCUGCUUUCCGUGUUGCUCUUGUAUUGCUUUUUCUUUCUACAUUUUUUUUGUUUGAUUUAUCAUAAUAUUGCUCAACAUCUUUUUCUUGGGUUGAGAGAACGAAUUUAAAAUUUCAUUAUUUUUGUGCAUCUGAUACAAGACCCCUUCACCUAUGGGUUCUUUUUCUUCUUGGUUUCGAAUCUCUAAUCCAAUAAUUUGUUCUUCUUGACAUCUGAGUUCAAAUUCUUUUCUAUUCUAGGUUGAUGUUGUUUCAGCUUGUUUCAAGUUGUAAGCUGUUCUAGGUUUGGUUUAGUUUAGGGUAAUUUACUCUAUUGGUUAUCUAAUUUUUAGAGCGCUUUCAUUUUAGUUAUCCAAUAGUUAAAUUUUCUAAUAACGGUUGACUGUACACACCACAUUAUGUUUACACUUUUAUUUUAGUCACUCAACUUUUAAGUCGCUUAUAUUUUAGUCAUCCAAUUUUGUUUCUAAGCAUUGAAUGAGGUAAAAAAUAUAAAGAUUAAAGUGAAAAGGCGGUAGAAACAAAAAAAAUGCAUUAAAAUAUUGUAAAAUUAAACUUGUUUACCCCAUUGCUGAAAGUUCUAAUUUUUAUUUUCAAUGUUGAAAUUUUAAAUUUCAAAACAUCGAUAUUCAAUUAAAAAUUUUAUUUAUCUUUGAUAGUGUCAAUCAAUUUAUUGCUAGAAUAUUUAAAUUAUUCUCAUUCUAAAAUAUAAAAUUUUAUUUUAUAUUUUCAAAUUAAAAUAAACUUAAAUAAUACGUAUUUAAUAAUUGCCUACGAAACUCACAAAAUUUUAAUUAUAUUAUCUUAAAUCUUCCAUACUAAGCUAAAAAUAAUGAAAAAUCGUCACAAAUAAUUAAAACAAUUUCUUUUAGACAUAUAUAAUAUUAUAUAUUUAAAAUAAAUUUCAAUAAAAAAAUAAUUGUAUACCCAAAAUAAAUAUUACAUAAAAUAUAUUAUAUUAUAAAUAAAAGUGAUUUUCCUAAAACUAAAAAAGCUUUUUUUAUUGAGUUUAUUUGGACAACACAAAGUAAUUGGAUGAAAGUGUAAUUAGUAUGAUAAGAAUUACACUCUCUUGCAAUUACUAAGAAUUGUAAUUCUCUAGACAUGUUUGAGCAUAGUGUAAUUACAUCGUAAUCUCAUAUGUCAUGUUUAGUAGUACAAGUUGUAAUUACACGGUUACAUAAAUUAUAUUUUUAGAAAAUAUUUAUCUAUAAUAUACAUAAAAUCACGAGUUUGAAAAAACUUUUAAAUUGAGGAGAAAUUAUUAUUUUUCAUCGUAUUACUAAAUUGACAUAUAAAUACAAUUAAAUUUAAUUCAAAAUAGUUAAUUAAGAUUUAGAUGUUUUUUUAUAAAAAUAUUCAUCCCAAUUCAUAUUAAUAUGAUUUACGAGAAGGUAUCAUUACAAUAAUUAUUCUCAAGUCGGACAAGAAAAGCACGAAAAAAAUAACAUACACGAAAAAUAUGAUUUACGAGAAGGUAUUAUUACAAGAAAGGUACAUAUAAAGUGUUUAUUUUAUAAUUAAAAAUCCAUCAUUAUUAUUUACAUCUAUAAUAUAAUUAAUUUAUUUAUAUCGACUUUGCAGUCAUCAAAGCAAUGAGGAUUGAAAAGUGAAAUUAUGAUUCUAUAAUAUUUCUUGGCUAUUUUACCUAAACGACCCAAAAAAUAAUUAUUUACGUAAAUCACAUUGGUUCAAAAUCAAUCAAUUAAGUUAUCUGAAAUGAACAGUAAAAUUGGAUUAAUGGGAUUAGAUGGGUACCACUAUUUUUUUCUGUUAAAAAAAUAAUUUUUGAAGUUUUGGACACUAGAUGAACAACACCUAUGUAUUUUUUCUGUUAAAAAUAUAUUAUUUUAAUUAGAUAAAGGGUUGCUGGCCAUCAGUGUGCUAGCACCCCCAAAAUUUUGUUUUUUUUUAAUUGUUGAUAUAAAUAUAUAUUAGUAUGAUACGAUUUGAAAAAAAUAUAUGGGUGCCGGCCAUCUAGUGUUUGAAACCCCAAAAAUUAUUUUUUUAACAGAAAAAAAUACAUAGGUGCCGACCAUCUAAUCACAUAACCUAAUUUUACUGUUCAUUUCAGUUCAUUUAGGUGAUUAUUUUUGAAUAAUGCUUAUUUAUGUAAAUAAUUAUUAUUUUUUGAAGUCAUUUGGAUAAAAUAGCCAUAUUGUACACAAAUAACAUUUUAUAAUAUUAUACUAUGACUUACAAAAUAUAAUUUAUUUAAGUAUUAAUUAAAUUAAAUAUAUUAUAUAAUUUUUUUAAUUUUAUAAAUAAAUGUGUAUAUCCAUGUGCAAUGCACGAGGCCAGAAAAAAACUAGUUACUAUAAUAAAUUAGAGUAAUUAAUAUUUUUACAAGUCUUUAUUUCAACCACAUUUUGAAUAUGUCAAAUUUAAAAGUUCAUGGGAUAAAUAUUUUUUAUAAAUAAAUAAAUUAUUAUUUUUAUAAUACAUAACAUUGACAUGUAAAUAAGUUAUGUUUAUAUUUUUUAUCAUAAUUUUUUUUAUAAAUAAAUAAAUUAUAAUUCUUUUAAUAUUUUACACGUAAGUUAUAUUUUAUAAGAUACUUUUGACCAUAAUUUUAGAAAAAAAUUUAAACUUUAAAUAAUAUAAUUUUUGUUCCAACUUUACAGAAUUUACAUGGAUUAUUUUUUAUAAUAUCUUUAAUUUUUUUUCCACAAAUAUUCCAAACACUAGUAUGUAUUCAUGUAUGAAAAUCUCUAUUCCUCCUUAAAAUACAAAAAAUAAAAAAAAUAUAAAAUGGAAUAAUGCUCUGUAAAUUGGUUUUGGGCCUCGGCCAUUAUGUCGGCACAAAUCCCGAUAUAUAUAUUUUUGUUUUCCCGCUUAAUCAAUUAAUUUGAAAAUUUCAUUCCCCCUUUGAUUUUGGAGCCACUCCGUUUAUUAUUAAACCCUUCAUUUUCCCCCAUUUCUUUCUAUUUCCCUCCCACUUCCCAAAAUCCUUUCCUACAUUUCCCGCCGUCCAAAUCAGCUCAAUUCCUCACUUCGGAUUCGGCGCCAGUUCGGCCAUCGUUGUUUAUCCGGCUCUCUGAACAAUCAUCGCCGACUGGUCAGAAUCCAUAAAAGUACCUUUGUUUCGGGUCAAGGGUUUCUUUUCUCUCGUCCAAACCGAUAAUGCCGAGCACGCGAAGAGCUUCUAAUCCUAUGAAGGACACUGAUUCGACCAAGAAUCCGACUCGCUCGAGCCAGCGUAAUCGGAAGACAGUGUUGGAGCCGGAAAACGAUGAAGUCGUCGUUGUCAGUGAAGGAGAGAACAGUGAAGUCUCUCGUGGUGGUAAGCGGAAGGAAAGCUCUGCCUCUGGAGCGGGCAACACCGCUAAGAAGUCAAAACCAAGUGUAGCUAAAAUGACGCCUUUGGAGACCGAGAAUGGUGAAGCUAUGGUUGUUGACGGUACUGAGAACGGCAGCAAAACGACACCAAAAAAUUCGAAAAAGACGAAAAAGGAUGUAGCUGUUAAUGAAGACGAGGAGGAAACAAAGUUUUUAGGGGAACCUGUUGAUGACGAGGAAGCCAGACGGCGAUGGCCAAAACGCUAUCAAGGAAAGGUGUACAUACCGUAUCUUUUUAUUUUCUGGGGAAAAGAGUUUAAUCUUUUGAAAGUUCUGUUAAAGUUAUAAAUUUUCGUAUGUCACGCAAUAGAAUUUUGAAUAGUCCUUUCUUUUACCUUUUUAUUGAUAUUUACUACUUUUGUCAUUAGGGAGCAAAAAAGGUUAUUUCAAAGAGUUCGAAUGGGUAAGUAAAUAUUUCUUUUUUCCCAUAAAUCAAUUUCACUUAAACUAUUUAUUUACAUUGCAUUUAUUGUUUAAUUGAAUUAGUGGGUGUUUGUUAUUGUUUUCGAAGUUCUUUAUAUUUAUUUUUCAAGCUUUCAAGUUUUUUUUCCCCUUUUCAAUUUAGCAUUUUUUGUUAAAAUGACUAAGAGCUCGGUUAGUGUCUUAAAAAUCGUUUUUGAAAAAUGUAAAUGAUUGUUUUUUAAAUCCAUCAUCUAGCAUUUUAGUUUGGGGCUAAAAAGGUUUUGAUAACAGCCUUCUAAUUAGUAUUGCUUUUGCUGUGGAAUAAAUGUAUUUAGAAAGUAAAAAGGAAUGCUAAAUACAUAUGGUGUAAUGAGUUUAAAGGGGCUAAGGUUUGGAUUCUGAGUUCAACAUUGCAUAAGAUCAACGUAGAAGCAUUUGACUGUUUUGGGUGAACAAUAACGAAUAAAAAAAAGUUUUAUUGGGAAAAAACAAGUGAAUAACUUUUUUCCCAACAUUUUAUAUUUUUGUUAAAGAUCAAAUAAACCCUUCGUUGUAGUUUUAAAGAUGUGCAACCUUAAUUUUCCAAUUUAUUUGGUACAGUGACUCUGAAGAGAUCAUUCAAGCUCGACGGCACUAUACCCAGGCAAAAGUGGAUGGUUGUAUGAUAUUUAAUCUUUAUGAUGAUGCUCAUGUUAAAGUCAGUAUUACUUUCUCAUCUAUUAUUUUGUCCUUAUAUUUUCUUUUACCAUAUUUAAAAUCAUAUUAGUCUUGUUUAUUUGUUAGUCAUAUUGAUCUUUUGCAUUUGCUUGAUUGGUAGUUAAACUCAGUCAUUAUAUUUUAUUCAUUUGAUUGUUUACAAACCUUCUCAAAUUUAUCAUCCCCUGAAUUGGAUAUUGUUUAGACUUUGUUAGGAUGAAUGUUUUUCUCUACAUGAAAAUAUACAAUAUGCUUGAUGUUAUUCAAUAACUGAUUUACAGAACAUAUUUAGGAUUUCUAGCAGUAAUUAUUCUGGAUCCUCUCUGAUAAGCAGAGAGGAGUUCGAGUAAAUGCUCUAUGGAUUUAGUCAUAGUGGUAACUAAUUAUAUUAUUUUUGUUUUGUAUAUAUAUAGGCUGAAGAUGGAGAAGAUUGCUAUAUAUGUAAAAUUGUUGAGAUGUUUGAAGCAGUUGAUGGAGAUUUGUACUUUACAGCUCAAUGGUUUUACAGGGCUCAAGACACAGUAAGAUGAUUCUUUUGUACUAUUUCCAUUAGUUUUAAACCUUUUAAUUUGACGUUAAAUAUCAUUCCUUUUCCAGGUACUUAAAACGUUAGGCCACCUUAUUGACAAGAAGCGUGUAUUCUUUUCACAAAUUCAAGACGACAAUCCUUUGGAUUGUCUUGUUGCAAAGCUUAAUAUUGCAAAAGUAUCUUUGAACGUACGUUUUCCGUUUCUUGCACUUCAUUUUAUUGUUUUUCACUGUUUCACCAUGCUGUAUAAUUAUUAUGGUUUUUUAGGUUGAUUUGGAGGCAAAGAAUAAAGAGAUUCCAAGUUGUGAUUAUUAUUGUGACAUGUUAUACAAAUUGGAAUAUUCGUCUUUCACUAACUUGCCCCCAGGUAGCUGUUAUUCCUCUGAUUUGCUACCCCUUUUUUUGAGUGUACGUCAAUGAACAUUUGAAAUUUACUAAUUUGCUUCAACUUCUAAUAAUUUCUUUUCUUAAUCAAAGAAGGGAAAAAAAAUGCUAGCGAAGAAGCUUCAUCUACAAUUUCUGAUGACAGCCCAGAUACAGUAAAUGGAGCUAACAGUGGUUCCGAGGAUGCUUCAUUGCUGGACCUGUAUUCUGGUUGUGGAGCAAUGUCAACCGGCUUGUGCCUUGGGGCAAAUAUGGCCGGAUUAAGGCUAGUGACUGUGAGUUAGUUUACAAUAUUUAAAUAAUUGUGCGUUUUAAGUUUUUUGUAAUUUGUAAAUUCUUAUAAAUUUAGUUAUUUAUUGGGUUUUGUUGAAUGAGUUUAGAAAUGGGCUGUGGAUAUCAAUAAAUAUGCUUGUGAAAGUCUCCAAUGGAAUCAUCCGGAAACAACGGUAAAAUUUAUUUAUAAUUUAUUUUGUGAUUUAUUGUUGUUUAAAUCAUGUAAUAACCUUGGUGCAAUACUCGGUUUCUCAGGUCAGGAAUGAAUCUGCUGAAGAUUUUUUAGCAUUAUUAAAAGAAUGGGAACGGCUGUGUGCUUCAUUUUCAUUGUCAAAAUCUGAGAAUUUGGAGAGGCAGUCAUUCAAUUCAAGUGUAAAUGAAGAUAAUGUAAAUGAUGAAGAGGAAGAUGAAAAUGAAGAUGGUGAUGGUGAAGUGUUUGAAGUAGAGAAAUUUCUUGCUAUAUGUUACGGUGAUCCGAAAGAGAAAGGGGAACGUGGGUUGUACUUAAAGGUAUUUGAGCUUUAUAACCUUGAUGUUUAUUGGCCUGUAAUAGCUCUAUUUAUCUCACGUGGCCAAUUCUUUUUUCUUCUUUCAUUUAUUCUCUUUAGAACGUUGUUCUGAAAUCCUAGCUACGGAACUAAUUUUACAACUUCAAUUCUAGCACUGAUUUUUUAGCUUUAUGUUUCGCGCGUUAGCUUUGGGGAACUCCACCAUGACUUCUAUCCCCUUUUGUAGGUUCGUUGGAAGAAUUAUGGACCAGAAGAAGAUACAUGGGAACCUUUAGAUGGAUUGGGGUAUAUCAACUGUAUUUAUGAUUGAUUAUUUCGUACUUAAAUAUGCGAACUUGUCUCUUAACAGUUUCUUCUUUUUAACAGUGAUUGUCGAGAAUGCUUGAAGGAUUUUGUUACAAGUGGCUUUAAAGCAAAAAUUCUGCCCUUACCUGUAAGUUUCUCUUGUACUUUCUUAUGUUACUUUUUAAAAAAGUGUAUUUCUUUAAAUGAUAUUCAUACAUAAUUUAUGUUGUAUUAUUUCUUUAUUUUGUUUGAAUUACUCAUGUUUGACAUAUUUGGAUACGAGUGUAUAGACAUGAUCUUUCAUUAACUUUUCAAAUACAUAGAAAAAAAUUAAAAAAAUUGUACAUACAUAUGUAUAAACCCAAAUCUGAAUUAUAUAUAACCUAUAACAUUAGCCCUUGCUUUUUAUCACAACAAAGUAGCGUCUCUAGGGAAGGACAAGAUAAUUAUAAAAUCGUAGAGUAUUUCCUGAAUUCACAACAUAAAUUUGCCUUGUUUUUGUUACAAUCACAAAUUCUUAGUAUGUUCUGUAUUUUUUUCCAUUGUCCUAUAGGGUGAUGUUGAUGUGAUUUGUGGAGGGCCUCCAUGCCAAGGCAUCAGUGGCUUUAAUAGGUUUAGGAACAAGGAUAACCCCUUGCAAGAUGAAAAGAACAAACAACUUCAGGUUUUCAUGGAGAUAGUGGAGUACUUGAAGCCAAAAUUUGUUUUGAUGGAGAAUGUUGUUGACAUUGUAAAGUUUGCAGAGGGAUAUCUUGGACGAUAUGCUUUGAGUAAGCUAAUUCAUUUAAAUUACCAAGUCCGAAUGGGAAUGAUGGCAGCUGGUGCUUAUGGUCUUCCCCAAUUUCGUAUGCGUGCUUUCUUUUGGGGUGCUCGUCCUAAUCAAGUGGGUUUUUUUUCCUGUGAAUACAAAAAAUUGUAACUCUUGAAUCACUUGAUGUUGUGUUAUAAUUAACCUUUUGGAAUAUGUUGAUCUUGUAUUGAUUAAGUUUCACUAAUAAAUUCUUAACACUGUUCUCAGAAAUUGCCACAAUAUCCACUUCCUACACAUGAUCUUGUCCUAAGAGGUGUCAUACCUGUUGAGUUUGAGGUACAAAAACCUUUCUUUGAUUUUAAUUUUUAAAUGCUUCUAUAUUCUCACAAUACUUAGUAAAUUGCAGAUGAACACUGUAGGCUGGGAAGAAGGUAAAAAAAUAGAGUUAGAAAAGAAACUUCUACUAGAAGAUGCCAUUUCUGACCUUCCAUCAGUAUGUUUUAAGAUUACUUGAAGAUUUUCCCUCUUUUUUUUCACUGCUUGGCUAGUUCAUUUAUCAGUUACAUGUACCCUUAUGUAACUCAAUUAUUCUUAUAGGUUGGAAAUUAUGAGGAUAAAGAUGAAAUGGACUAUGAGAAAGAACCUAAAACAGAGUUUCAGCGAUUCAUCAGGUUAAGAAGAGAGGGUAUGUAUACUUUUCAUAUUUGCUAAUUAUUUAUAUACAUUCUCUGAAGUCCAUGUUAAUGAAAUUGUUUUGGAUGGGCGUUAUUCAAGUGUGUCCGACAUGAAUAUUUU
rnacentral:lncRNA from 1 species